rnacentral:lncRNA from 1 species
UUUUUUUUUUUUUUUUGGUAUAUCGAUAUUUUUAUAUUAAGAAGAAAAAGAAUUAGACCAUAUGGUCACCUAUUGUGUCCUUUUUUUUAGUACAUUGAUAUUUUUAUAUUAAGAAGAAGAAGAAUUAGACCGUAUGGUCACCUAUUAUGUCCCCUUUCCUUUUUUUUUAGUAUAUCAAUAUUUUUACACUAAGAAGAGAAAAAAUUUGGCCAAGUCACACAAUACACAGUCUAAUUUAGUAUUGAAUUCGCCAUCUACAUGAUUUGAACCUAAGACCUCUCGCUUCCAAGUGAAGAAGAAUACUACCAGACCGUAAUAUUGAGUGACCUCUUCUCUUUUAAACAUGAAUAGUGCUAGCCACUGUUGUUCAUUUUUGCUAUUUAAUUUUCUUCAAUUUAUUCAAUUUGACGGUUGAAAAUUAAAAAUAUAUAUAACGGAUAAAAAUGAUUGUGGAUACACCACUCUUACACAAAAUCUCACACAUGAUCAUCUCCGUUCUCCAUCUCAAUUCUAUGCUACGCAUGCAUGUUUAUGUUUUCCUAAAUUUUCCCCUUCCUUCUAGGUUUUAUGUUAAGAAAUAAAUAUUAUUAUUAUUUUAAUUUUCACUACAGGGGGACACAGUGGUUCAAUGCACUGGCCUUAAGCGUUAGGUAAUUGGUAAUUCAUCGUUUACCAAGAAUUAUUAUGGCUUAAUGAUAUUCAUUUUUAUCUUAUAAUUUUUAGCCAAAACCUCACAAUUAGCUAACUAUAUUAAUUUUCUUCAAAUUCACUUUUAGCGAUCAUUAAACUUAAGACUUCUUAUUUAUAAAUGAAAAUAAAUAGUACUAUACCGUAGUAAUAAGUACUAACAUAGCCAUUGUUUUGAAUGUAAUUAUUUAGCUCAUCAAUUACGCAAAAUUCGUUGUCUUUGAAACUUGAAAGAUUUUUGUUGUCUAAGACGGACAACCAAGGGCCGAGGCCGUGGAAGUAAAAGAUUUGAGAUAAAUCCUAGGAUGACUAUGUGAGAGUGGUCCAGUCCUAUGAGCCUAUGCAAAUUAGACCACGAGGAAAAUGAGCAAUUCACAAGUGUUUCAUAGGAUAGGACAUAUGUUGUUCACAAAAACUCCGCCACAAAUUUUAGGGUAGGGUUGGGUUGGGUUGGUUUGGGUUUAGAUCAAUUAACGAUUGACAGUAUUAAAACGAUGAGGAGUUUGAAAAGAAUGAGACUCGAAGUCAAAAAAUAUGAAUUUCAUUGGUUUGCCUAAACCUGUAAUUAAAAACAUGCUAACUCUUAAAAUAGAAGAGUGAUUUUUAUAAUAUUACGAUCUUAGUUUUAGUUUCAAAUUUCGAGUUAUAAAUAAAAUGAAAUACAAAGAUAAAUAGAGACAGAGGGAAGGUGGUAAAAAGGAAUGAAGGAUGUGGAAGGAAUGCAUAUUGAAUGAUUUUAACAUGAAACCUAAAAAUUAAAAACAAUUUUAAAUAGAGUUUCUUUUCUAGUAUUGUUAUAAUUUUGUAUGUCAUUUUUGUUAGAGUUAAUGAUAUGAUGAGUGCUUAGGAUUAUGACAAGUGUCUAUGCAUUAUUGGUGGUGGUAUUAGUAGAGAGAUGUAUAAAUACCAAGAGUUGUAAUUAUUCUAAGUGUAUUGAAUAAAAAGAAUUCAUUCAGUUGUAAACAAAUUUCCCUCUCUACUUCCUCUCUCUUGUUUUCUUAGCUUCUAAGGUUUUUCCAUUGUUAUCAUGGUAUCUUCGCUGGGUGCGGCUCACGCCUCCGGUUGACGAUCCUAGUGCUUCCGCCGUCUUUUUCCGUCAGUGAUUGGUGUUUGGUGACUUCUCUGACUAGCUAUUUCGUUUUCGUUGGCUGCGAUUUUGGUGUUUUGGCUUGCUGAUUGUGAUCGAUUGUCGGUGAUUUCUUGAUCGGAGUUUGUGUGUCGGUUGAUUUGCUACAGUCGUAAUCGUCUUCGUGUAUCAGGUGCUGUCGAUUCUUUUGCAUUUGAUUACUGCGCAUAUUUGUUCUAAGCAGUGCGAAUUCCAUUUUUCUGCCCUAAGAUUUGGGGGUUUCGUGUUUUGUCUACUCGAACGUGUUGGUGUCGUGCUCAUACUAGUUGUUGUGGUUGCUAGUGGCUUUUAUUGCAGUUGUAUUGCAAUUACUGGUUGUUGUAGUCUUUCAUUUGUAUCGAAUCUUGCUGUGCAAUUAUGGUGACUCCUAUGCAAUUAGCUCUUACACAAUCACCUAUUUCGUCUUUAAUUCCAAGUGUUGGGAAUACUAUCACGGUGAAACUUGAUGAUUCCAAUUAUGUUACUUGGAAUUUUCAAAUGUAACUCCUACUGGAAGGAAAUGGAAUUGUUGGGUUUGUAAAUGGUUCUAUUCCUUGUCCUGCUCAGUUUGAUGAUUCUGAUUCUGAUGAUGAAACUGUUGAGAAUAAUCACCAUGUCUCUGAUGCUUAUCAAGUAUGGAAAAUUCAUGACAAAGCUUUAAUGACAUUGAUUUCUGCUACAUUGUCUUCUUCUGCCUUGUCAUGCAUAAUUGGUUGUCAGAGUUCCAAAGAGAUGUGGAUGAAUCUUCGGGAACGUUUCUCCAGUGUCACUAUAACUAGUAUUGUUCAACUAAAGAUUGACUUGCAGAAUAUCAACAAAGGACCUGAAUAUGUUGAUGUCUAUCUUCAGCGGAUCAAAGAGUCUAGAGAUCAACUAGCUGCUGCUGAUGUAGCUAUUUCUGAUGAGGAUAUUGUUAUUGUGGCACUGCGAGGUCUACCCAGUGAAUAUAACACCAUUAAGGCAGUCAUUCGUGGACGGGAAAAUCUUGUCUCUCUAAAGGAAUUGCGAUCUCAGUUGAAGGCAGAAGAAUCCACCUUGGAUGAAGCUACUAAACAGAUUCCUUUAAUGUCUGCUCUGUAUACUCAAGCUUCUGGUUCUCCUUUUGAUCAUGGAGAGCCAUCAUGGACAAAAUCUGUACCUCCAAUCGUUCAAGGUUUUUCUGGUUAUCCUAACUUCAUGCCGCCUUUAUGCCAGUAUCAAAUACGUCUCUUUAGGGGUUUCCCGGGUUUUAACAAUUGCCUUUACCUCAUAUGACUAAUGUUUCCAUGGCAUUUGUCACUCAACAAAGUUCUGGUUCAUACAAUAAUUUUAGGGGAAAUAACUUUAGGGGCAAUAAUUACAAAGGAAAAGGACAAGGGAAGAAAUUUCAUGGUCACAACUCUGAUGGACAGUAUAAUGGUCCUGGAGGACAGUAUAAUGGUGGUCACAACUCUGGUGGACAGUAUAAUGGUCUUGGAAGACAGUAUAAUGGUUCUGGAGGGUAUGCUCAGCCUCAAUAUUAUAAUGUAACUCAAUCUUUUCAGCACAAUGCCACACCACAAUCUAUAUCCUCGACUUAUAAUCCAAGUCAAAUCUGUCAAAUCUAUGAUCGUAAAGGUCAUUCUGCCUUGAAUUGUUUUCAACAUGGCUGUCAGAUAUGUCAUCGCGUUGGUCAUGUGGCGGCUACAUGUUUUGAUCGAAACAAGACCUCUUCUGGAUUCUCAAGUCAUUUUUCUCCUGGUGUACCUUCCUUUCUGCCUACUCCGCAGCAUAAUGGUCACUAUGGUCAGGUUCCUAUGUGGAAUCCAUUUUGUCCUCCACAACCUAUGGUUUCACCGAAUCAUGGUUCUCAGUUUCCUUCGUCUGCUAUGCCUCAGUCCCAUGCUUCACUUGCUAUGCACACUGGUCUUGGUUCAUCUUCCUCAGCUCAUCAAUAAGAUUUUUGGCUACUUGACUCUGGAGCCACCAACCAUAUGACCUCCGAUGUAUCAAAUCUGCACAUGGCAACAUCAUAUCCUUCCAAUGAUAUUGUGACCAGUGCUAGUGGUGAAGGUUUAUUGAUCAAACACAUUGGUCCUUCUUUUCUUCCCACUAAGUCCCAUAAUUUCAAGUUACCUUCUGUGUUGCAUUUUCCGAAAUUGUUUCAGCAUUUGUUAUCUAUGAAUCAAUCGUGCAAAGAUAAUAAAUGUCGUUGUAUAGUUGAUGAUGUUUCGCUUUGUAUACAGGACAAGGUCACCGAGAGAAUGCUAUUCUCAUGGCUCUACUCCAGUUGCUUAUGUGGGUCAAAAACAAAUUUCUUCUCUAUUGUGACAUUGUCGAUUAGGUCAUCCUACACAGUCUAUAGUCAUUGCGGCACUUAGUAAAUCUCAUAUUCCUUUUACUUGUAAUGCUCAGUCUCACAUGUGUAAAGCUUGCUUGCAAGGCAAGUUUACCAAACUACCUUUUCCUGUAAUUGCUUCCAAAUCCAUCACUCCAUUUGAAGUAAUUCACACUGAUGUGUGGGGUCCCUCACCUAGUAUGUCUCUUGAAGGUUACAAGUAUUAUGUUUCCUUCAUUGAUGAGUGUACAAGAUAUACAUGGAUUUUUCCAUUGACUAAUAAAGAUGCAGUGUUCUCUGUGUUUGUCCAUUUUUUUGUUUUUAUUUCAAAUCAGUUUGCUGGCCAUGUAAAAAUUUUACAAAGUGAUGGGGGUAUGGAGUAUAUUAGUACUCAAUUUCAAAGUUUUCUUCUUUCCAAAGGCAUUGUUCAUCACAAAUCCUGUCCUUAUACCCCAAAACAAAAUGGGUUGGCUGAGAGAAAAAUCGGCAUAUUGUUGAGACAGUUAUUACACUUUUACAACAAGCUUCUUUACCUUCCAAAUUUUGGUUUCAUGCAUGUGCUACUGCAGUCUUUCUCAUAAACAGGAUGCCUACACCCGUUCUUCAUAUGAAGUCUCCCUUUGAAUUACUAUAUACCUUUCCACCUAAACUAGAGUAUUUGCGGAUUUUUGGGUGCUUGUGCUAUCCUUCUUUGAAACCUUACAGAGUUCAUAAACUUGCACCAAAAACUAAUGCAUGUAUUUUUCUGGGGUAUGCUUCCCAACAUAAAAGGUAUAUUUGUUUCUCUCUCAUAGAUCAAAAGUUGUUGGUAUCUUGACAUGUUGUCUUUGAUGAAUCCAGUUUUCCUUCAUUCUUUGAUGAUGUGUUUGUGCCUCCCAAGGUUGUCUUUGAGCAUCCUUCAUUACCUAUACCUGUUAUACAUCCCAAUACAUUCACACAUUCCACUAGUCUUCCAACCACUUGUUCCUUUCUUGGUUCACCACACUCCACUUCUGUUUCAUCUAGGCCACAGCAUGUUACUCAGUCCACUGCUUCUCAACACAAUAUUUCUGGUGAUCUUGUUCCUUCAUUCACUCAUGCUGAGGAUGCUUCACCGGUUCUUUCCUCUGUGUUUUCCGACGAACAUCCAAAUAUUAUUGUGUCUCAGAUUGAGGAUCUGCAACAAGUGUGUCUACCUGCUCAGAAUUGCCAUCCUAUGCAAACCAGGUCUAAAUCUGGAAUUGUCAAAAAGAAAGUCUUUUCUGCUCAGAUUGGUCAGGCCUUUGAUAUCAAGGAACCUCAGUCUUUCUCUAGUGCAGUCAAGUGUGUUCAAUGGCAAAUUGCCAUGAAAGGAGAGAUUAAUGCUUUAACUCAACAACAAACUUGGAAACUGGUUCCUUUACCACCUGGCAAGAAUCUUGUAGGCUGCAAGUGGAUUUACAAGGUUAAGAAAAAUUCAGAUGGUUCAGUGGCUCGAUACAAAGCUCGUCUUGUUGCUAAAUGGUAUUCUCAAGAGGCUGGUAUUGACUACUAUGAGACAUUUAGCCCUGUGGUUAAACCAACCACAGUUAGGUUAAUCCUGUCAUUAGCUGCUUCUUACAAUUGGAAACUUAAACAAUUAGACGUCAAGAAUGCUUUCUGCAUGGUUUCCUUGAGGAAGAAGUCUACAUGUCUCAGCCACAAGGGUUUGUGGAUUCUACGUGUCCUGAUUAUGUCUGUAAGUUGGAAAGAUCUUUAUAUGGUCUUAAGCAGGCUUCUUGAGCCUGGAAUGAUAGGUUCUCGGGCUAUCUACUUAAACUUGGGUUUAAAGCUUCAUAUGCAGAUCCCUCUUUGUUUGUCAAGUGUGAUGAGUCUUCCAUUAUCGUUCUCCUCCUUUAUGUUGAUGAUAUUAUCCUCACUGGAAGUGAUGUUGCGAAAGUUUAGCAUGUCAUUACUCAGUUAAUCCGUGAGUUUGAAAUGACAGACAUGGGUCUUUUGCAUUUUUUCCUUGGUCUACAGAUUGAGUAUCAGUCUCAGGGCAUCUUUGUACAUCAAUCCAAAUAUGUCAAAGAAUUGCUCCAAAAGAUGAAUAUGCUGGAGUGUAAGCCUUGUUCCACACCUUGUCAUCCUAAUCAGAAGCUUCUGAAUCAUGGUAGUGAACCUGUGUCGGAUCCUAGUACCUACAGAAGCAUUGUUGGGGCUCUACAGUACCUUACAUUUACACGACCCGAUAUCUCAUUUUCUGUCAAUCAGGUGUGUCAGUUUAUGCAUUCUCCAUUAGCUACUCAUUUUGCUACUGUGAAGCGUAUUUUGAGAUAUCUUAAAGGUACUAUGACAGUAUGCUUGAGUUUUAAGUCCGGAUCCUCUCUGUUAAACGUUUACAUAGAUGCCGAUUGGGCAGGCGAUCCCAAUAAUCGACGAUCAACCACGGGGUAUGUUAUUCUUCUGGGUGAUACUUCCAUUUCGUGGAGUUCUAAAAAGCAGCAUACUGUGAGUCGAUCGUCUACUGAAGCGGAAUACAGAGCAAUGGCCACAACCACUGUUGAGGUUAUCUGGAUACAACAACUUCUUCGAGAUUUGCGUGUUGCUUGUUCCUCUGCUCCCGUCCUUCACUGUGACAAUAUUUCCGCAAUGGCUCUUGCCACUAAUCCUGUUUUGCACUCCAAAGCCAAACAUAUUGAGAUUGAUUGUCACUUCGUUCGUGAACGUGUUCAACAAGGGACAAUUGUUCUGCAAUUUGUUGCUUCUGCAGAUCAAUAUGCAGAUAUGUUUACUAAAGGGUUGUGUUCACCUCAGUUCACUCGGAAUUGCUUCAAUCUCAUGCUUGGCAGUAUGCCACAUGAGCUUGAGGGGGGAUGUUAGAGUUAAUGAUAUGAUGAGUGCUUAGGAUUAUGACAAAUGUCUAUGUAUUAUUGGUGGUGGUAUUAGUAGAGAGAUGUAUAAAUACCAAGAGUUGUAAUUAUUCUAAGUGUGUUGAAUAAAAAGAAUUCAUUCAGUUGUAAACAAAUUUCCCUCUCUACUUUCUAUCUCUUGUUUUCUUAGCUUCUAAGGUUUUUCCAUUGUUAUCAAUUUUGUGGUCAUCUCUCCCUAUUAACACAAACCCUCCACAGUAUUGAUUCAUGCAUUUUUCAUCUACUCUCUCUAUAUCUAAUAAGAAAAAGAAAAAAAAAUUGAAAAUUGAAAAUGCAAAAUAAAAUGGUUAUCAAACGAGUUUAAGAGCCGUAAUUUUUAUGCUCUCAUUUUCUCCUUCUACAUUUCCCUCCUUGUUUAUCUUCUUUAAUUUUGUUUUGACUUUUAAUCAAAAGACUAGAAAAAGUGAAAGGAAAAGUAUGCAAGAAAAGAAAAUGCGAAUGUAUAUAUCAUAUUCCAAAUUAAAACAGUUCUUUUAACAAUAGAAAUGUUGGAUUUUGGACCACUGGGUCUAAAAGAUGAAAGGCCUAAUGGAAAGUCUAUAUUGGACAUGUGGGCUUCGAAAUAACAGAUGGGUUUUACAAACUUGCAGUUGCUGCUGAGCUGAUUGUGGGGAAAUUUUGAAAUUUCUAUUAUAUUCCGGUAUAUGCAUGCAUGUUGGCGGAACACGCCGUUGAAUGUGCGGUGAAAGAUUCAAUGAAUGAAUAUUUAACGGUAAAACCUUUUGGUGUCCAUACAUACUAGAGAAAAAGGAAUUAAAAGUGGAGGGCCUCCCCUCCUCGUAUCAAAUAUCAUUCCCUAAAUCCAAGGAAGCAAUGGGGUAUAAGAAAUCAUUCUCGUUAAAGGAAUUUGAUGUUCAACAUUCUAAAAUCAAUUGGCAAUAACAGGAACAAUACGGUUUUCUUAUGAUGUUGGAAAAUUAGGCACAUCCACACGCUGGCGCCUUUAUUUUGAUGCACACAAACACAAGAAGGUAAGAAGGGCUUAAAUCUCUCCAUCCCAUAAUUCUUCAACAGACUUGUACGGAGAUGAUCCAUCAGCUGAAACCAGGUUUUCUUUAAGCAUCAUCUUCUUCUGUGGGAUUUGAUUGAUCUUGGCAAGAUCAUCUUCUGAUAGAUCCCAGUCAAACACAAGCAGAUUCUGCUUCAACCUCUCCUUGUUGUAGCUCUUCACAGCUAGAGUUGCCCCUACCUGGUAUACCCAUCUAAUGCAAACCUGCCAAAUUUACCACAAACUCACCAAGUUUCAGUCCAUUGAUUAGUGGGUACUAAUUCUAAUUUUGGUUGAAAAAUCGUUAAUCAUGUUUGUUUCUGCUUAUUAUUCCCAAUCAGAUAUUUCCUGGUGUGAACUACAUAAAUUUCAUGACUGUUAUGUGAAAACGACCAUUAAGUCUUACCCAAUAGGGCCAACACCGAUAUUGACACCAAUUUAAUCACUCUAAGUCUAAUACUAAGUUGGAUUAGGCUCAAUGAACAUAUACUGGCGUGUAGUUUUAUCUAAAAAAAUAUCGAUGAUGUUAAUGGAUAACCACAUUGUUUUAACUUGUAUCGAGCCACACUACCCCAACACAAAAAUAUCAUCAAGAAAAACGAAAUGUGACAAAACCUGAGCAAUAGUCUUUCCCCGAGCCUCUGCUAUAUCCUGAAGCACUUUGCUUUCCAAAACAUGAUUGGUGCCCCAACUGGAACCAAUUGCACCCAGAGGAGAGAAUGCAAUCACAACUAUACCAUUGGCCUUGCAGAAGUCUCUCAGCUUCUUCUGUUGCCAGAAUGGACUCAUCUCGACCUGUAUUUACACGCACACACUAACAAAUUAGAGAUUGGAAAAAGGAAAACAAGUACAACUUUUAGAUACAAAUUUAAGCAAUAUUGUAGGUUGAAAAAUGGACAUACUUGAUUUACUGAGGGAGGAAUGGAAGCAAAAGAGAGUAAAGUUUCAAUCUUUUUGCUAGAGAAGUUGCUGACUCCAAUGGAUUUGGUGAGGCCAAGUCUUUGAGAUUCUUCCAUGGCUGCCCACACCCCUUUGAAGUCCAUAGGCAUAAGGUCAACUAAUGGGUCCACCAAUUUUCCUGGCUUGCCACUGAUAGGCCAGUGAAUCAGAUACAAGUCAAGGUACUCCAGUUGAAGAUUCCUGCACACAAUCACACAAUCAAAUCAUCCAGAUUCCAUACAAAAUAAACUCCAUUUCAUAAAUGUCAUAUUUUGAGAAGAAAUUCUUAUGUCCUGUUGAAGGAAUGAAGUGUGUCCCGAUGGGUUUGGGGUUAGCUUCUAGGGUAAGCUACUAUGGGUGUAUCUCUAGGGUAAGCUUAAGCCCAUACUUGUUGUAAAUCUGUUUUUCCUUAAUUUAAGGGAAGUGACUGAUUAGUGUAAAGUAGAUAAAGCCCUUCCUUAAUCCAAGGGAGGUGACUGAUUGGGUGACGUAGGUUAGCUCUAGUUGGCUGUGAUAGACAGCCCUCUUUUCUUCCUACUAGUUAGCUGCUUGUUGCAGCUAACUACCUGGACCUCUUCUUUCCUUCCUCUCUCAUAUACACCUUGUCUCUUGUACAAUACAAACAUGUGAAAUACAUUGAAACUUAAAGCUAGAAAAUCCACAUAUGUGACAGUCAAUUACUAAGAGGGAAUGUUCAACCACUAAGUAAUUUGACUGUCGCCAAACACGUAUUCCUUUGAUUUUGGUUAAUCUGGCUCCAUUUGUAUCAAUGCGACAUCUUCUUACUGGAUAGUCCUACAAAUCCAAGAUUCUCUAGUCUAUAUGUAGGGAGGUCUUGGUCCCAAGUGCAAAACUUAUGCAAGGUUCCCCUCUUAUAAAGAGGGUUAGGCUCCGUUUGGGAUUGAGGUGAUUUUAAAAAAAGCCAUUGUGAAAAAAAGCUGAGGGUCAUUUUUGUGUUUGGUAAACUGAAAAAAAAGGGCUUAUUUUGGAAGCUGCUGUGAGAAUAAGCUGAAAAUCAAAGGAAAAGCUGAAGCUGCUAUUUGCUGCUUUGAAAAAAAGCCAGUUUUUUCAAAGCACACGGAGCUACAGUGCUCCUUUAAUGAAAAGACACACUAUCAUCCUGCUUUUUUUUCCAAAAGCACUUUCACAAAAAAGUUUACCAAACACUCUACUGGCUUUAUUUCACAGCCGCUUAUUCUCACAGCACAGCCGCUUAUUCUCACAGCAGCUUUUUUUCAAAGCACAGCAAUACCAAACCAUCCCUUAGACAGUCGACCUAAUCCGACUGUGAGACACAAAAACUUGCCUACACAUAGAUGCCACGGUGGCUUUAUUUCAAACCAACUAUAUACAACUUUCACUCAGUAAACAGUUUGAUUAAACUAUUAGCUUGAGUAGUCAGAUAUAGGUAAGUAGUAAUUUUCCAAAGUAACUACCUAAUACUUACUGAAGUGAUUUCUUGAGAGCUGGAAGGACGAGAUCAGGGUGAGCAUCAUUACUCCACAGCUUUGAAGUGAUGAAUAGUUUGUCUGGAAUCAACAAGGCCAAGUUCUAGAGCUUCUUUAAUGGCGUCACCAAGAGUCUGCUCGGAGCCAUAUAUGGAAGCUGUAUCAAAAUGCCUGUAGCCUAGCUUGAUGGCCUCAAUCACCGCCGUUUUCAACGCGUCAGGCUGUAAGUUGUCGGCCGCCGUGCCGAAGGCGAGGACGGGCAUGCUCUUGGGGCCGGCGGAGGAGCCGAGCACCACUUCCGGGAUUUGGCUUGCCGCUGCCAUCUUUGAUCAAGACUCGAGUAUUGAUUUGAAGUUUGCUUUUUUGAUUUUUCAUUCCAAGUGAAGUUUGCUUUUAAACCGCAAAAGUUUCUUGUAUUUGUCGGUCUGCAAUCGUCAUUGGUUAUGUAACUCUCAACAUCCUAUCUUCUCAUUCACUUUUUAUUAAAUUUUUUAAUUACAAAUUUGUAAAUUUGUAAAAUGACUUCAAGAACAUUAAUUAUCCUCUAAAUAAAAGGGUUGGGUUGCACACUUAGUCUAUUUUAAACUCUAACUCAUUUUUUCAUUUCCUUUCAUUCAGAUAAAGCAGAAAAAAAAAAUAUUUUCCAUUGAAGAAGUAGAAUCAUUUGAAUUUCCCACAUCGUAUAUACGUUAUUGUCGAAGUUUUCCUUUUGGAUUUUGAUACCUUGGUGUUUUCAAAUUGAAUUUGCAUACCUGUGACUUCAAGAUCAGAAAAAAGGAUUUGGCCAACAUUAUUUUUUUUUUUUUUUGCUUAUUUGAAUUUGGCCAAUAUAUGUUGAGAAACACAAAUUUCACCUACGAAAAUCUUUAAGCAAAUCAAACAAUCAUUUCCUUUUUUGCUGUUUCAUUGACGUUUGAGAACGCUUGAAAUGAAUCUGCAACACCCUGGCACGAGAGCUAGUUGAAACACCACGUCCGAGAUGCAUUAUGAAAAUUAUAUGCUGUUUUAUAAUUUUAUAUGUAUGCAUAUUUAAAGGUUAUUUUGGGAACAAUAGUGGGAGGUUAAAUAGUAUUUUAAUUUUUUAACUUUUUAAGGUGGGUAAGAUUAUAACAUGGGUGGAGAAAUAAGAUAAUGAGGUGGGUCUAAUAGUUCUCAUUAUAAAUUGAUGCCCACAUUUUUUAUUAUUAAUAAUCACUCGGUGACUUAGUGGUUUGGAAUUAAUUCCAUGCCAGUAUUUUAUAUGGUACGUUUUUUGUUCAAUUCCUAACGCUUGUGAAUCAUAUGACGAUAGUCAUGGAGAGGUUAAAAUGUUUUUGUUAAUCUUUCUUACCCUGAAAUGUAAGUUGCCGUGACGAUUUAAAAAUAAAUAAAUAACAACACUGCGAAAUUUUUUAGAUGAUGACAAUAAUGUUUGGAAUACAACAUAGCCAAUCAUAUGAGUCAAGGUAAUUUUUCAAUUCUGCAACUCAAAAACUUCCUUGACAAACCUUCUUGCUCCUUCUUGCUCCUUCUUGCCUGUAGAACUCUUCAAAAACUCUGCAUACUUGUAGUUCCGAUACAAUGUAGAGUGUUGCUCAUCAAUCAAAUCCUUAAUUGGGCCAAUCACAGUGUCCCUGUUGGGUCCAUAAAACAUUGCCAAUGACAGACGUGGCUGAAUUUUGUUGGUCACUGCCCUGUGGGCUGUGGUGCACACUCUUAUACCUUCCAUUACUCAAAACGUACAUAAAAAAAGGAGAGAAUUCAAUUUAAAUAUGAAUCAAUAUAACCCAUAAAGCAACUGUGAAAUACAUACAAAUAGAGUAUAAAUAGCAUAUAAAUCACGGUUAAUUACCCAUUUAUUUUCUGUUUAGUAUCGUUGUUUUUGUUUAUAAAAAUUUGUAGCCGGUUUUAUGAAAGCAUCUGAAUUUGGUCUUUAAGAUUGAUAACAAAGGCAUUGGGGGAGAGAAUCGACAGCAACCCAUUUCCCAUCUUUGAUCACUUGAAGGCCAGUCACUCCCUCUGUCUGCUUGAGUACUGUGAGUGCAUUGAGAUCAGUAUGGAUAGCUAGUCCAAGUGUGACCUCAGGGUCUGGACAUGGUGGAUGGUAGUUUCCCUGUGCUUUCAGAGUAGGAUUAUCAUCCAGCUUCUUUUGUAAGCAGUCCUUCUCUAGUCCAAGCCCCUGGGAUAGCAAUCCCAAGAGCGUUUUCAUCAAUCUGCCAUUCUCCUUUGCAUAUUCAGCAAAAACCUCAGUAACAAAACGACAAACAAAAGGGAAAUUAAUACACAGAAUUAGAAUAAAGUUACAAACUUUUAAUUAAAUAUAGAACUCGACGGCACUGAAGGGACUAUAAGAUGUGUAUGAAUUAUGGUUUAGUGCUCAUUUAUUGACAUCUUAGUACUCUAUUUCCUAUAGUUUAGAUUAGUUUAAAGUAGAAUAUAUCGCUCAUAUUAAAAAGGAAAAAAAAUUAUCCUGGUACCCGUAUUGGGGAGGAUUUUCAGGCAAGGAAUUAAGAGGAUGCCAAAGAUGUGAGAAGGUUUCACUCCACAUAGUGACCUUUUGCUCUUGCCCUUCAACUUUGAGGUAGAAAUUGAAAAGCUUUACUUGCUUGGAGUGAUCAGUGGUGAAGUAUUUUGCCCUUUCUUCAGGAGGCAAUUUGAAGAACUGGGCCAUGGCAGUCAUCAUUCUAUUGCAGAGUUCCUCAGGUACUCCAUGGUUGAUGAUCUGGAAAAAUCCAUACUCCUCACAAGCUCGUGAGAUCUUCUGAACCAAUGGGGAUGGUCCAUCGCAGUUAUUGCUGCUGCCUUGGUCGUGUUAGGAGUAUAAUGGAGAAUGUGAUGUAUUGGGUUGUUGACACUUGUCACAAUCCUAGAUUAGUUAGUUAGCUAUAUUGAUUAGAUUGAUGAGAUUGGGGUAUUGAGAUAUAAAACUGAAGUUGUAGAGCAGAGUGCUUAUUAUUCUAAAUAGGAAUAACAAAAUACAGAUUGUUCUCUCUCCCUCUCGUUUCUUUGUCUCUUCUACCUUCUUCUUCAACUAUCUUAACAUGGUAUCAUCGCCGAAUAAGCUUCGUUGCAAGCUUUUUCGAUCAUUGGUUCUUUGCUUCCGCUACCUAUUUCUUUCUUCUACGAUCUCUCUGUGAUUUCUUUCUGAUUUUCUGGGUUGUGAUUCUUACCAAUUCCUACGUUCUGUAUUCUGCAAGUUCUUGCGCAUCAGGUGUUUGUUUUUUGUUCUCAAAGAAAACUGAUCAACCAGGUGUUUAUUUUUUCAUCCGUUUCAACAUCGGUUUCAGUCAAGUUGAAUGAGCUAAAUACCGACAACAUGGUUCCGCUCGUUUCUUCUAUACUUCAAUCGAUUUCUUGUUUGAUUUCUUGAUUCUUGAUCAAGAUUCAAUUUUUUUUCUCUGCUGUAUUUGCAAUAACUUCUCGAUUUUUCUGCUCGGUUCCCUCAGUUUGAUUUGUCUGUAACAAAUUUGGGGUUUCUCUUCUAAAUCUCUGUUUGGGUUGUUCAUUUCUACAACAAAAGUUAUGGUUACAGCUGCACAAUUGCAACUUUUGCAACCCUUAAUUGUAUCGUUGCUUACGUCUGUUUCUUUCUCUGUUUGUGUAAAAUUAGAUGACACCAACUACUUGCAGUGGCAUUUUCUGAUGAAGAUGAUGCUACAAGGUCAUGGCCUAUUGGGAUUCAUUGAUGGAUCGAAUCCUUGUCCUCCUCAGUAUUCAGCAACCUUUACACAUUCUGUAAUCACAUAUUAGUCAUCUGCCAGACCAGAAUUAGAUGAAUUUAAAGUGUGGAAAAUGCAUGAUUAAGCUUUGAUGUUGUUACUUACUGCAACACUUUCUUCAUCUGCAAUUUCUUGUGUGAUUGGUAACAAGAGUUAUCAAGAGAUGUGGGUUCGUCUUCAAAACGAAUUUUUCUUACCAAUCACAAGAACUAGUAUCAUCAAGUUAAAGUCUGAUCUGUAUAACAUUAAGAAAGGAUUUGAUUCAAUUUCCCAGUAUCUUCGAAGAAUUAAAAAAAGCAAGAGAUGCACUUUCUAUUCUUGGUGUUACAUUUCCUAAUGAAGACAUUGUGAUCAUUGCCUUGAAUAAACUCCAUGUAGAUACAACACAUUUAAAUGUGUAAUAAAAAGGCGUGAGAAUGUCAUUUCACUCAAGGAUUUUCGUGCACAUCUGCUCACUGAGGAAGCCAUUGUGGAUUGUGUUCCUGUGCCACAUUUCUUGUCUGCUAUGGUAUCUAAAUCUGAGACAAAAGGUUCUUCCUUUCCUCUCUCUAGCUCUCAUUUUCAUGCUAGUCAAUCAAGUAAUAUACAUGGUAAUAGUGUUACUGGUUACAAUGGUGGCUAUCAUGCUCAAUCCAAUUGUAAUUUAGGCCAAUCUAGCUAUGAUAAUGGGGCUUACAAUGGUUAUAUUUUUGGUCAGUCGAGCAAUGGUAAAAAUGCCGGUGGUUAUAAUGGUGCUUAUAGGAAUUUUCAGUCCAAGAAUUGUGGUAAAGGUCGGUUUCGUUAUAAUAAUGGUGAAAGAUUUAAUAUCUACAAGUCUUUUCCUCAAUUUUCACUAAGAGUUCUUGGCUCACCUCCAUCUCCAUAUCUUAAUUCUCUACCACCUGAAUUUCCUACACAUCAAAUUUGUUCACAGAAAGAUCAUUUUGAUGCUACUCAAUCUUUAGUUUCAACUCCUGAAUUAUGUCAAUGCACAUUGGAUCAACAACUUAAACUAGUGUGUCCAGUCAUCCUGCAAAAUCAUGAAACACCUUUACUGAGCAAUUAUAAUGUUGACAUUCACACAGCUUAUGAUCGCAAGUGUGGUUCUCUCUCUCACUUCAUUAUUUCAGAAGAUGAAAUGUUUUUAACUGAUGCAGAAAAACAAGUUUUGGAAUGUAUUGACAAGGAAAGUGCAGAUCUCAGUGGGUUUACAACCGUGUAUUCAAGUGACAUUUCCAAUUCUUAACUUUGACAACAAGGCGAAAAUUGGUGUUCCUACUCAAACUGUUGUACAUUAGUUCCGAGGAUUUUAUGUACUUCGGUUAUGCAAUGGUGGAAGUAUAUUUGAUAUUCAGUUAGGCUACCAUAUGAUAAUUUUUUAUAAGGGUGGGGGCACCAAGUCUAUGUUGAUUUGGGUACUAUGGUAUACACGAUAAAAUGGUGGUAAAAUACAAGCUCCAGAUGCUAGGAGGUUUUCUUAUUGCAGACUAUGUGUGAAGCAGUGAUCAGAUACUCCACUCUCCAAUUGCAAGGAAUACUAUCCAAAAAGAGUUUAGAUUGCCAAAUCUCAUGGUUCAUGCUAAAAGCCAUAUUUUUUUAAGUUUCUACUAGUGGCUGCAGUAAGAAUAACAAAUCUUCAUCCAUGAAUUGUCUACACUCUGCAUUGAUUUUUUUUUUUUUUUUGACAACUUGAAUGCUUUAACCUCAUGAUUGGGUGCCCCAAUCUUGAGUUUGAGGGGGGAUGUUAGGAGUAUAAUGAAGAAUGUGAUGUAUUGGGUUGUAGACACUUGUCACAAUCCUAGAUUAGUUAGUUAGCUAUAUUGAUUAGAUUGACGAGAUUGGGGUAUUGAGAUAUAAAACUGAAGUUGUAGAGCAGAGUGCUCAUUAUUCAGAAAUAGGAAUAACAAUAUACAGAUUGUUCUCUCUCCCUCUCAUUUCUUUCUUUCUUCUAUCUUCUUCUUCAACUAUCUUAACAAGUCGUUCAAAUCAAUGGUGGGGAUUGAUUCCAGAGCUGAAACAUUUGAGAGGUGUGGCCUGUGAUUCUCUGGGAGAAUGAAGUUUGGAGAGAGGGAUAGAGGAGUGGUGUCUUUCGCCAUUUGGAAGGAUGCCAUCUUUUGAGGAUGAAGAUUGUUUGAGUUUGAUGAGGUGAUCUAAAUGGAACUGUUGUACGGACAAGGACACGGUUGUGGGUCGUUGAGCAUUGGGGUAGUUGGGUGUCAUGCGCACGCAGCCAACCGAACUAAUUCAUAGGUUAGGGAUUGAAGUCAGUGCAAGUGGAUGUGCAUACUGCCUCGAGUAACUAAUCCAAUUCACAAGAGAAACUUUCAUGGAUGAAUGACCAUUGUAGCAUGAUUAACAUCUUGUACCAACGUUACAACACAUGAAGAAACAUUUACGCAUAAUUUGUUAUUGGUAGCAUCUACUUUUGCCAUUGAAGUCAUUCUCUAACUUUACAUAUAUGCAAUGUGUUAUUUUAGUUAGUUGGCAUAGUCAACUUCAAAGAAAGAAUCAUUGAAGUUACAAUUUUCUAAAAAUUCUACUAUGCUCUAGUGUAUGACAUUGUGUGCUAUAAUUUAUAGUUUUGUCGACAAUUAAAACCAUAACAAUGGGCUGGUAAGCAGGGCCGGUCUAGAGAUUUUUUAGGCCUGGGACGACGCUAAAAAAUAUGCCUUAACUUCACAUAAGAAAAUUAUUUAUUUUCACAUAAAAGACAUCGAUAAAAUUAUACUUAGAAAAACAUUUCGAACUCAAUAAUUUUGAAACACAGAAAGACUAAUUUAUUUUGUAUCAAGAGAAGGAAACCAAAAAACACCCGGCUUACAAGUAGAUAAAUGAGUUUUGUUUUCCAUCUGAACUUUUAAAGUAUUUUUGUAUAAAUCGUGAGAUGUUUUUUCUUAUUUACUAACUUUGUCAAUAUGGGACUAAAAAAAUAAUAAUGUUUUCGAGUCUUUAAUUGAUAUGCAUAAGUAAUGAAUGGGCACUAACUUAAACCUUAUGAUGACACGUCAUAUGAUUUGUAAAUUUGCUCUAAAAAUGUGGUCUACGCAUUACUGUUUGUUGAAUAUUAGACUUGAAUUUGAACGAAUAUUUAAAAAUAGCAACCCAUAUAGCUACUAGCUAGUAACUAAAAAUAAAUUAACAACCAAACAAAAAUUUGUUAAAACUGAAAAGAAUAAACACGCACAUAGCAUUUCAAACUUGGGACCUCUCGUUAAUUUUAAACAACAAAAAUCAUUGCUUUUAAUUAAACUUCUUGAGUAUUUAACCAAAUUUUAUAAAUUUAUACUCUUAUGAAAAAAAAAUUGUAAAAAUUGGAAAGUAAAUAAGCACACGUGGUGUCUUAAACCCAAGACCUUCUCAUUAAUUUCAAAUUACAAAACCACCACCUCUAGUUAAAUUCCUUUAUCAUUAAACCAACUUUUUAAAAUGGGAUACUUUGGAUGUGGUCCCUAAUCUUUAACAUUCUUUGACUAAAACCUUAAUGGUAUUCAAAGUUUGAUCAAAAAUCCCUUGACUUUGUACACCUCAUUAUAUUACAAUAAAUAUUUAUAUUUUUUAUAGUUUUGACAUUAAUUGUUUGAUAUUUUAUGAGAUUUAUAAUCCUAUAAAUUUAAAAUCCCUCAUUAUAAUACUAUUAGAAACUGUUACAAUAAAAAAAUUCAAACAUUUUGAUUGAAUAAAUGGAUAAAAAACUAUGUAAAAAUAAGAAAUAAUAAAUGGCAAAAGAAUGUAUCCAUAGUGUUAAAAAAAAUUGGUACAUUUCACAUAUAACAAGGUGGUACAUUAAUAAAGAAGAAUGGGUACAUUGUAAAUAAAUUAGGGUACAGAUAAAAGAUUAAAACAUUAUGACUACAAAUGAUUUUUUAAAAAAUAUAGGUGGUAAAAGAAAUUUAUACAUGGGUACAAAAUAAAACUAAAAAGAAAAUACUACAAAUUUAAAAAAAAAAUGUUGCAAAUUAAAAGUGGGUACAAACUAAAAAUAUAAAUAUAUGAUACAAAGUUUAGGCAUAAAACAUAAAUAUACCAUUUGUAAUUUUUCUAUCAUUGAUUAAAUAUAUAAUGUCACGUGACAGUAUACAUAUGGGUACAAACACAAAUAAAAUUUUAAAAAAUAUGGGCACAAAAAGAAACUAAUAUAUGGAUACAAAUUAAAAAUAAAACAAAAAUUGGUACAAAUUAAAAAUAGGCACAAACUAAAAAUAAAAAUAUAUGAUAAAAAAUUUAGUCAUAAAUAUAAAUAUACUAAUUGUAACAUUUUUAACACUAAAAGAAUAUAUUUUAAAAUAAAAAUAUUUUAUUAUUCAAAUAAUUAAUGAUGUUAUUAAUACCCAAGGACCUUGAUCAAAAAUUGAAAAUGAAUAGGAUUUUAAUCAAUAGAGUAGCAAAAAGAAGGAUGUGAACCUAAUUUCUCCUUUUAAAAUUUAUACUCUUAUAAAAACAUAUAUAAAUAUAUCAUCCGAAUAAUUUUGGUGCUCCCAACUUUUUUGACUCCUGAACGGUCGCUCUGCUUGCACUGGCCUAGGCCAGCCCUGCUGGUAAGUAACCUUGGUUUGAAAUAAUCGAAAAAUCAAUUGUCUUUCUACGGUAAUAAAAACACUCAGAUAUCAAAUCUCCUUUUUUACUAGUGAAAUAAGCAGAAGCUGUCAGUGUACUGCCUUUUGCCUAACACCACCAUCUUCAUACUCCACCUGAAAUUUAAAGGAAUAGAUUCACAUUGGAGCGAAAAGUUACAUAUGACAACACAAGUACACACUUUUUUCCCAUGAUUUUUAUACACGAGUUAGCCUUGCCUCAUAAACCUUUUUUUUUUUUAACUCACGACUGAGUAGCACGUAAAUCCUGGCUUCAUCUAUGAGCAUAAACUAUAACCUUCUCCGUCACUGCAGCCCUUCCAGAUUUUCCUCUCUUCUACCCUCUCUCUUUAUCUUUUUUCGUGGUUUUGUCAUUAUUUUCUCCCUGUUAAAACAUAUAGCACAGUAAAUUGUCAUGAUACACAACGACUCAAAACAACUUCGUUAAUAUCAACAUCAGAAAGGUAGUGAAACCACAAUUAUGAGAUGACUGGACAUCGAUCCGAAGCAUAAGAAAAAUCAUUAUACAAACCUUGUUUUUUAAGGCAAGCUUCCUUACGCGUAUCCGCAUUUUAAUCAACCGUUGCUUUGUUUUGUGUACAAGAAACUUAGGCAAUGCAUCUGCCAAUUCGGAAAAGGUCAUGUUGAUCAACCACUUUGAAGAAGCUCUUGCUCUAAGAAAGCUAGUACGUACUAAUCAGUAACAGUUGAAAGAGGAUCCAGAUUCUCAAUACCAGAUGCUUGUCAGUUAUUUCAAGUGCUUCCUAUAAUUUCUGGGCAACUUAACUCUCUCCUACAAUUUUUUUUGACAUUUGAGUUCUUUCCAUAGUUUUCAUAUAUAUAUAUAUAUAUAUUUCUUUUUUUUUGUCGAACUAUAGUUUUCAUAUAUGGAUAGAAGACUCCUACAGGCACUAACAUAACAUAUGAGAACAUUAUCCGCAUUUCUGGGAGUGUAGGAACGAAUUUGUUGAUAUCAGUAUAGUUAGAAAUGUAAGUAAACUCUUCUAAUUAAGAUCAACAAAACUAUAGAAGCUUUGGGUAAAUAUACUUUCGUGAAAAUUCAAAAGGCUGCUCGUGUUGAUUAACGGGAAACUUACGUGAACAUAUAUAGCGUAUAUGUUCGUGUUUUUAGCACACUGAAAAAAAUCUCUUCUGCUUUGGAGGUGGGUUACUAAGGGAAGAAACUUCAAAUUUUUGGGCAUGCCCCAUCCCAAGACGAUAAUUGUUUUUUAUUUUAUUUUUUCAAAAAGAAAAUUCUGCACAGAUAUCGUCCACAUGGUGUCACAGUGCUACUGCAUAAUCAUCAUCCACGUGGGCGUCACUUCACUCUUUAAUGGAGCUCCUGACGACCAAUCUAACGGAUUUAUGAAUCUGGGAGAAAAACUUAACUUUUAGGUAUGAAAAUGGGACCAAAAAAACUUCAUAUUUAAAAGUGUAAAUUUCAUGAUACUUAAGAGUAGUAAAAGGAGAAUUACCUUUAUUUUUUUUAGACUUUUUAGCCAAAAUGGUAUCCGGGAUUGACAUAAUUCCUCACUUUGGUCUCUAAUAUUUGAAAUCAAUAGAAGUGGUUUAUGAGUUUGUUCAUCAUCAAUCAUUUUGGGCAUUCCGUGAAAAAUUCUAUUAAAUAAGAAUUAAAAUGACAAAAAUACCUUCAAUUUAAUAAAUAAUGGGACAAAAUGUUUUGACAAAAAUUGAGAGUAUUUUUUUCGUUUUAUUAUUAGUUAAUGGAGAUUUGUUAUGGAAUGACUAAAAUAAUUAAUGAUUGACAAACUCAAGAUCAAUCUAUCGAUUUCAAAUCUCAGGAUCCAAAAUAAAGAAUUAUGUCAAUCUCAGAAAUCAUUUUAGUUAAAAAUAAUUUUUUUUACAAGAAACAUUACAAUUACAUACAUUUCAGAAUGCAGAUUCCGAAACACGGAUCAACCAGAGCUCGCAGGUGUUGUCCUCGGGAUCCAACACAAUACAUUACCACUUUUUCUGCACCCCCCCCCUCUCUUUGUCAAAAGUUGAUUCAAUAGCCACUUACUACUAUGGUUUAGUAGUAUUUCUAUUUAUUUGUAAGUGAGAGGUCGUAGGUUCGAUUCACACUAAAAGCGAAUUUGAACCAUAUUAUUGCUAACACAUUAUGAGGCUAAGCUCACCCUCUCCCUCGAUGUAAGUAAUAUCAUUUAUUCAAAAAAAAAAAAAAAAAGUUGAUUCAAUAAUGAUGGUCUCUACUCUCUACUGCCACAUUUCUACUUUUUAACAAGGACGGAUUUGCAGGUGGUCCUCUACCACAGUUAUGAAGAUGAGUGACACCCUUGCAUGACGGCGUGGGUUCGAACCCUGCCAAUGGCAUGUUAAAUUUCUAACUUAACGAUAAUAUCGCUCUGAUUAAUUUAUCCACAAGAUAUUCAAGAUAACAGACGAUGAUCUCCAGAUCCUCUUUGUGAAGAUCUGAGGAUCAAUGAUCUGAAGAUAAAUCAAUCGUGUUGUUCCUAUUCCCAAGAUAAAUCAAUCGUGUUGUUCCUAUUCCCAAGAUAAAUCAAUCGUGUUGCUCCUAUUCCUAAACAACUAAAUAAAUAUUAGUUCACUGGUUAUCUUUAUGUCAAGAAUGUUUCAGAGUCGGCCAUCCGAUUAAUACUAAUCAAAUCGAUGUUAUUACAACUUAACUAUCUACAUAACUUAACAAACGUUGUAUUUUAUUACAAAAAUAUUGGUAUAAUUACAAUGUAGUCAUUCGCUAUAAAUUAUUUUGUCAAACUUUCGAUAUAUAAUUACAUUCUUCAAAUCUUAUAUUCUCAAAAUUCUCCAGGUAUAGAAUUAAUGGAACUUCAUAAUAUUUUUGUGUUUUUUUGUGAGUGGGGCCGGCGAAUCUCAUCCCCUGAAUGCUACGCGAGUGGAGUGAAUUAGGGAGGGCCUUCUUUAUCAAUAUAUUUUUUUUUUUCCCUUUUCAAAGAGAAUGUCUCCAUCUCCAUCAUCUGUCAUCCUUUUUCUUGUAGUAUAUAUAUAGUUUUAAAAUACUGGAUUUAAACUAAUUACGUGCAGCUUCAUGAACCAGUGUAGCUAUGUUACAAUCUCCAGCUGGCAUGUAUGGAACAAAUAUAUAUUUGGAGACAUUAGGUUUACAUUCUUAUUUUUUCUACUCCAUUGAUUAAAACUUUAUUCUUUUCUAAAUUUUGAUCAAGGUCAUUCGAUUUUAAUAAACGACAUUAAUUAUUCAAAAAUAAAAUAUUUACAUGUCAAGAUAAUUAAGUUUCAUUUUUAAAUAUAUUCAUUUAGUGUUAGAAACGUUACAUUUGAUAUAUUAUAUUUAUGGCUAAACUUUUUAUCAUAUAUUUCUAUUUCUAGUUUGUACCCAUUUUUAAUUUGCAACCAUUUUUUUAAAUUGUACCAAUUUUCUUUUAAAUUUUAAUUUGUAUCCAUAUAUUAAUUUCUUUUUUGUCCCUUAUUUUUUAAACUUUUAUUUGUACUCAUAAUUUUUUAACCUUUUAUUUGUACCCAUAAUAUAUUUAUAAUGUACCCAUUUUUUACAAAUGUACCACUUUGGUAUAUGUAAAAUGUAUCCUUAUUUUUUUUUUGGUAAGUACCAUUUUUUAAUGUAAAAUCUAUUUAUUUUUUAAUCUAAAAUGUACCAUUGUUUUUUUUUUAAAUAUAAAGUGUACCCAUGUUUUUAUGUAAAUGUACCAAUUUUUUAUAUAUAAAAUGUAGUCAAAUUUUAUUAUAUAAAUGUACUCAUUUUAUAAAAAUAAAAUAAAUAAAAUAAAACCCCUUUUUUAUAUAUAUAAUCUAGAAUGCACCCAUAAGCAAUUAUUAUUAUUUUUUGUUUUUAUCAAAAACCAUAAGCAAUUUUGAAUAAUUAAAUUGGUAGUGUAAAUGAAAGUUUAAAAAAAAAAACGGUUGAGUCUUUAUUGAUAUUAUUGCAUCUCUUUUAUUAUUAUGUCAUUUAUGUAAUAGGAGAGGGACUUCAAUCAAAAGUAUAAAAUGCAUAAGGUUUGAGUCUAUAAUAAUUAGGGACCAAAGACCGCAACUAAACUAUCCCUAUUUUUUUAUGGUUUAGUCCCAUUUUAUUUCACAUUCAAUAAAUAUGUAGGUAUUAAUAUAUAGAUAAGUUCAUUGUCCAGUUGUGAUUCGAUACCUAAAUGAAUAUAAUGUAUGAUCCCCCCGAUGCUUCCAAAUUAUAUCACUAUUGGAUGUUGGAUUCAUAUAUGUUUAUUUGAUUUGAUUUGAUAUGAAAUCACCAUGCAUCAUCCAUCUGAUCUCUUAAAUUCUCCAGUACUCCUACUGCCUUCCCAUCCCUGUAGCAUCCAAUCGCAGCAAGCCACAGAUCGAAUAUAGCCAAGAACUUACUUUUGUCAUGGCGAUCAUGCAUGUAUGGACUACGUUAUAACCAUCAUAAAACUCCAUUUUUCGUAAGGGUUAAAAAUGCCUUCCCAUCCCUACCAUCCGAUCGCAGCAAGCCAUACAUCGAAUUUGGUCAAGAAAUUUUUAUGUCAUGAAGAUCAUGCAUGUAUGGACAAUAUGUGUAACCAUCAUAAAACUCCAUUUUUCAUAAAGGUUAAAAUGUCAAAGCAUAUUGAUAUCUGAAAUUAGAAAUGCCGACGACGACGAAGGAAGCCAAGAAGUGAGAAUGUAAUAAAUAUCCUGAUUUUAAGUUCUAAAAAUAUGGGCAGGUAAGAACGUAGCAAGAGUGCUACUUCCUUAAUCGUAAUACCCACAAAACUGAAACACUUAUUGACAGAUUUUGAUAAAAAAUAGGUCUUACGUGGGUAAUGCUAUUUAAAACACAAACGGCGCAUUCAUAAUUGCUAACAUUUUCUUAUACAUGUAGGUCUUACAUACAAUCAUAGGACCUACAAGUUGAAAAUUAGAGUACUCAUAACGAUCGAACAAACGCAAGAUAAACUAUGAACAUUGUUUUAUUAAACGGAAAACAAAUAAAUGAGAUUGAUGAUCAGACAACUACAAAUUGCUACAGCUUGACUGACUUAAUUCUCGUACUAAACUACAAGUUAUAUUUAUCUUAAACUCCGUAAUUUAACACAUAAAAACCAAUAAUCAAAUCAACUGAGGAGGGUAGUAGAUUCGAUUCCCUUUCCUUACUGUCUCUAUUUCAUGUUAACAAGCAUGCAGAUACAUGUAUUCAAUUCCCUGUUGGCCUUUUUUCUACUUGACAUGCUACACAUUUGUAGUCUUGAAUGGUGGUCCUAUGAGGUGCUCAUUUUGCUUUCUGGGCUGUUAGCAAAUCCAAAACUGGAGACAUCAGUGCUUUCUAUAUGGUAUGUUUCCUUCAUAAUUAUCUAAUGUCUUUGAUACAUUUUGAAGAUUAUGCAGCAUGCUAAUGGUUUUUCAUUUCCAUCGAGUUUGAGCAGCUUUACAGUUACUUAUUUGCACUACUACGUACCAUAUGCUUUUGGAGCCACAGUAAGGUAUGCCCUUAACCUGAUCCUGAUAAUGGCAAAGAGAAUUUUAAUUCAAAUUCGUAUCUAAAUUGUUUUCAAAGAAUACUUUUGCCGAUUUUGUAGCACUAGGGUUUCAAAUGAGUUAGGAGCUGGGAAUCCUCGUGCUGCUAAAGUGACAGUCUGUGCUGUUACAGUUCUUGCAAUCACGGAAAUAAUUGUUGUAAGCACAACUCUUUUCUCUUACCGCCAUAAUCUCGGAUAUGCAUUCAGCAAAGACAAGGAGGUAGUGGAGCGUAUUGCAGAUAUGGGUCCUCUUAUUAGUCUUUCCAUUGUUAUGGAUGGGUUACAAGCACUACUUUCAGGUUUGUUUCCCAAACUUCACUUCCACUCCUUCUUUAGAGGGUCAUUGGUGCCUCUAGGAACUAGAAAAACGAGAUAUCAAUAUAAAUUUGUGUUAUGCCAAUGCGCUGGGCUCACAUAUCACGUACGCUCACAUAUCACGUACGGAGUCUGGCGCAGUGCAUGAUUUGAACCUCUUGCAUUUUCAGCAGUAUUUUUAAUAUUCAUACAAAGCCUCUGAGAUCUAGGAGACAUGCUCAUGACGGUUAAUUUUGUUUCAAAUUAGGGGUUGCUAGAGGAACAGGAUGGCAGAACAUAGGAGCUUAUGUAAAUCUAGGGGCAUAUUAUUUGGUUGGCACUCCUGUGGGUGUGGUGCUUGCCUUUGGUGUGCAUUUGAGAGCCAAGGGCCUUUGGAUUGGAUUAUUGACAGGGUCUACUAUUCAGGCUAUCCUGCUUACUCUUAAAACUAGUCUCACAAAUUGGCAAAAGCAGGUUCAAGCUCUCUUUCACCAAUUAUUUUUUCAUUAUUAUACAUACAACACUUUUCCAGUAUGGUUUACCAAUCACACAGCUGAUUAUUUUCUCGGCACUGACAGAAGCAGUUUUAUCAUCACCAACAAUGUCAAACUUGCCCCAAGCAUGAUAUGUUAACUAAUUAAGCUCAUGUGGAAUGAUGCAAGCUUCACUUGCAAGAGAGAGGAUGCUGAAAGAGGUCGUACGUACCUAGAGAGGAAUCAGUUGGAUAAUAUAUAUAUAAUCUCCAAAAAGAGGAGAAGACUUAACAUACAGUUUCAGGAGUAAUUCAUGAGAAUGAGCAUCUAGCAAGUUUCUAUAAAAAGGACAUAUAAAUCCACGUUGUACUCUUUUAUGUUCGACUAGGUUUAUGUCUCAUAGGGUUUUCCAUAACAAGAUUUUAACAAAGCAUCAUAAAUGCGUACGACACCAUUUCAAUUGUCUAGAAGAAUGCAGUACUAUUUUUUCCUUCCCUUUAGUUUUGCCCCACUAUGUUUUUCAAGUAAAGGUUUUAACAAGGCAAGGCGCAACUAUGUCUUUUUUGAGAUAGAGAUGAAAGUCCAACACACAAAAUCUAUUCUCUUUUUAAGCUGUAUUCUAAGCUGAAGGAAUUCUUCCGGUUUGCUAUUCCUUCAGCUAUAAUGACCUGGUAAUCAACUCAUGUUUUCUUCCCCUCUUCAAGAAAAUUAUGGUCUUGGAUUUCUUGAGUUAUAUGACACACACUCAUACAGCGAAGUGUUCUGUUGGUAGACUGUAAACAUAGACCAUUGAUUAGCUAAUUCUUUCAUGAAUAUGUGGUCGAUAUGGCCUUUUAGGUAAACAUCGCGUUAAUCCUUCUUUCUUAGAGGGUCACCUCUAUAUUGACUUUCAGGUUUGUUUCCUAAACAUCGCGUUAAUCCUUCUUUCUUUAGAGGGUCACUGCUUGUAAAACCCUGUCUCGAAUUAUGUAUGUUGGCAUAUUAACGGAGUUAUAAAAUGACCAGUUUGCCUCCUAUCACUUACCCAAUCUGGUUUCCUUUUUGGAUUUUCUCCAAAUUCUUCCCCUCUCUUUGCUUGCCACGUGGCACCACCCCACCCCCAUCUCUUUUCUCUCUCAUUCUCUCAUUCUCCCCGAGCCCUCUCACUCUCUCUCUCUCUCUCUCUUGCACACUAUCUCCCUCUCAUCGAUCUACACACACACACACACCAUCAUCACCACCUGUUGGCAGUGACGACAACCCUCGACCUCAACCAAACACCUAACAAAUCGUUUCUCUUUCCCAACAUCGUUACAGUCACGGUACAAGCAUUUUUCGACGAAGGUAAGUCGAAAUCACCCUUCAAUCUCCUUCCUCCAUAGUCUAGACUGCUUGGUUAUUUAAUGGAAAAUGGUUUUGGUGAAGGUUUAAGCACGAAAACAACUAAGGGAAGCAUUUUUUCAAUUUUCCCAUGAAAUACCGUAGGUUUCAAGACAUUUUCCGAUCGUCUCUGAUGCCAACUCCAACCCAUCUUGGUACGACUUGGAUCCCUACUAUUUUAUCUUCAUUUUGGCUUUUGUAUGAUGAAAUUUGGUUAAGGUUUGACCCUAAAACGGAGUCAAGGAGAUUCCCGACCAAAUCUCCAGCCUUCUCCCUCGCAAAACCAGGUUGAGACCCAAACCCAAGCCUUGGGCCGGGCUUUCAGGCCCAAAACCCAAAUGAAACAAGGCCUUUGGGUCGUAAUGACUUGGGUAUUUGGCCCAUUAAACCCUCGGCCCAAACCCUUAGAACCCAAACCCAAAAUCCUUUUAACCGAGGCCCUUGGACUGUACAAACUAGGGCAUUCGGCCCGUUAAAACUAGCCCAAACCCUUUGGACCCAAGUCCAAAGCUCAGGCCCAAACCUAACAAACCCUAGGCCCAAACCAACUAACCCAGACCCCAGGUAGCGGGUAAGCUUGCGUGUGGGCGCGCAUGAGAGCGGUUGCCCGUGUCGACGCGUAGAGCACAUACGCCACCGUCCACGGUGAAGCCGGUGAAUUUUCCGGCCACCCACAGCGGCACGUGGCUACCGGAGCCGCCACUUUGCGAUGGGGCGUAGGGGUACUUGAGGUCCCUCCUUAUGUUUUUCGACAUCCUGAAUCUAUUUAUAACGUCCACUUUCAAAAAUUCAAUCAUUAUGGUAGAGUUUUAUUAAUUGGACCCUUUAUUUGUUUAGGUGCGAUUAUUAGCGGGGAUUCCGUCAUUCUUAUUUCGCACGGCUCUUCGACGACGGAGUAUCUGUGAGUGGACCCCUUCUAAAAUGCAUAAUUUAAUAGUAUAAAUGCAUACAUGAAAAACAUGAUUUAAUAAUUACGUUUUAUGAAACAUUUUAUGAGUAAAUUAGAUUUACACUUCAUUAUUAUCAUGCUUUACUGAGACUAUUUUGGAAUACCAUACUUUAUCGAAUUUAUGUUCUUUGUACUAGAUAUGAUGGAUGACUAUAUACUAUUUAUGAACAUGUUUUUACACUCUUUAUAGUAUAUAUGAUGGAUGACUAUAUAUUAUGAAGAUGUUUUGAGAUAUAUGUACUUAUGUUGGAAAGAUUAUAUUCAAUGUUUUUGUGCAUAUCUAGUGGUCACUGUCAUGCCUACGGGCGUAUGUUAUGCCUACGGGUGUAUGUCCUGCCUACAGGCUCGUGGCGGUCUUGCCUACAGGCGUAUGUUCUGUCUACAGAUGUAUGUCCUGCCUACCGUAUGUUCUGUCCACGGAUGUAUGUCCUGCCUACAGGCGCGUGAUGGAGAGCCUUCAGGCAAUUAUGAUACCACUAGUUAUCACACUAAAUAUGAUAUAUAUUUUAAGAAAGGUUUUAUGGCAUGCUAGUGUUUCCAGAAACCUAUUACAUAUUAUGCUAUUAGUUUUCAUAAACUUUUGGGGUUAGUACGUUGUUGAAUAACUAUGUUUGCACUACUUAUACAUCAACUUGGUCCACUCAUGUUUGUUUUGCGCCCCCUCAGGAUAUUGGAAUGAGGCUUACGAUCCAAGCUACGAGGCAUUCCCCUACCAGUGACAUCGUGCCAUCCUUUCUGCUUUGACAUCAUUGUAAUAGCAUUUUCCCCUUGUAUUCUGAAUUAGAUGUAUGCUCUGAACAUGUCAUGCAUUAUCACUAUCAUUAUCAUUGUUGGUAGUUGAAUAUUAUUAUAUUAUUUUAUAAGGUUUAUGUUGGAAUAUUACAUUGCGUAGUUCGCGCGAAAUUUACAUGCAUGUUUCACAUGUUCUCAGCAUAUGCAUUCAUUAAAUGGCUUGCGUCACCCUCGGGUGUUGGCCAUCAUGUGGCCAUCCCAAUAUCCCUCGGACAUCAAGAUCGGGGCGUGUCACUGCUGCAUCUAGGAAUUGGAAAAGCACUUGCGUUGACCAAUCACACUAGGCUCAUAUUUCACAUACGGUAUCCAUCAUAAAGUUUCAUACCUAUAGGCAGUGCACAAGAUGUAGAAAUGUUUUUGUAUGAGCAUACAUAAUCUUUUGUGGUGAGGGUGGGAGAAGAGAGGAAAGGGUUAAGGAAUGACCAUGCAUGAUGUUAUGGCGUAAGUAUUGUGACCUAUAUAACCAAUUUGCUCUCUCUGAAAUUUACCCUUUUAUUUAUACCCGAUAGCCGUGGAUAAACGGUCGAGUGGAGCAGAUUUAAGAAUGAAAAUUCGGGUAUUCUUCGGAUAUGGGAAAAAAACCGUAAAAUAUUAUUCAGUUAUGAUUUUGAAUAUGGUUAAAGGAGUCCCCAAUCUGCACUUAUCCCUGAAUCUGCCCAAAUAAUAUAUUACAAUAGGAAGGAUUUGUGGCACUACUUUCUUUUUGCAACUUUUGACACUCAUUUUUGUGGACCCACUUCAUAAUGUGUUUCAACGUUCAGCCUCAUUUCUCUGUAGUCUUGGGUUCUUCAAGAGACAAUCGGAUGCAUCUUUAUUUAUCCACCACUCCUUUACAUGCUCACUCUAUGUUUUGGUGUCUGUAGAUGACCAUAUUCUAACAGGUCCCAACUCUGAUGCAGUUCGAAAGUUUAUACAUUUGUGCACUACCUUUACCAGUCGCAAGUUAGGGGAGCUUAAUUUCUUUAUCGGCACAGAGGUCAUUUGACAUGGCAAUCAUCUAUCUCUCUUUCAAACUUGUUAUGCCUCACAAUUAUUGAAGAAAUUCAAAAUAGAAUUAUGUAAGCCAUGCCUUACACCAUUUCUCUCCUCUACACGCUUGUCCGCUCAUAAUGGCUUUUCUAUCUUUGAUCCUGAAACAUAUUGAAGCAUGGUUGCUAGUCUACAAUAUUUGACUUUGACACGCUACAAUAUCACCUAUGUUGUCAAUCAAGUUUGUCAGUACAUGCACAAUCUCAAAUCACCUCAUCUUUAGGCUGUCAACGCAUAUAUUGCUAUAUAAAAGGCACCGUUGAGCAUGGUCUUCUCUUCCGUUCAUCCCAUGAUUUCUCUCUUCGUGAAUUUUCCAACGCUGACUGGGUGGAUUCCAUUGAUGAUUGUCGGUCCAUAAAUGGUGCUUGCAUACUUCUUGUCUCAAUCUCCUUACUUGGAUAACCAAAAAGCAGUCCACUGUACAUGUCUCGCUCUAACUCGGAUGCCACGACUGCAGCUGAUACGAUAGUUUUGUUAUCUCUUUUGUGAACUAGGCAUUCCACUUCGCACUCCACCAUGCAUCUUUGUCGACAAUGUUUCAACUCUUUUUUUCGGUAACAUGGAAGAAGAAAAAGAAAAACUAAGGAAUAAUUAAUCUAGUUGUAGCGACUCCAGAGCAAUCAUCGGAAAGAGUUUGAACUAAACAAGGAGGAGGCUAUGCAAGCUCUUGAAACUCCAUCUCACAAUUUAAACCCAAUUUGACUAACUCGUCAGCUACAAAAUUACGCUCUCUAUAAAUAUGUUGCACACUACAAUUCUAAUUCUCUAUGAUUAAACUUCUGCAUUCCGAGACAAGACCAUAAAGAGGAUGAUAUUAACGAUAGGCGAACCAUGAAUGAGUGAGAUUGCCAAAGAAUAAUCAACAUCCACAAUAAGUUGAGAGAAAUUUCUAGCUUUUGCUAUCUUCAACCCAUAAAACAAAGCCCAAAGAUUAGCAUGGAGAACUUCCCCAACUCAUUUUUUAAGCCAAAAACCAAUGAUCCGUUACCGUGCCAAUCUCUAAUUAAUUCCCCACUUCCAAUCACCCCUUUAGAACCAAGCCUAGCACCAUCCACAUUUAACUUAAAGGUCCUAGAAGGAGAAGGAACCCAAGCCAAGAGAACCUGCACAUGGUUGUGUUUACUCGAGAUGCUAACACAUGGCCGCUAAUCCUAUUUUUCAUGUGCGUACUAGUCAUGCAGAGAUUGACUAACACUUUGUUUGUGAGCUUAUCGUUGAAAGAGUCCUUCAUACUCAACACAUCUCUUCUUAUAAACAAAUUGCUGAUGUCUUCACUAAAUGACUUAUCCGUGAACAGUUCUCUUUCCUUAUUUCCAAACUCAAUCUCCACUUUGUUCCGUUUCGCUUGAGGGGGGAUAGCAUUAUCCAAUCAACCUCUAAUCUCUCCAAUGAAUCUGCUGUUAAACUGUGAUUCCACCAAUCUCUCCUUAUUGUUGUAAGCAAGGGCGGAGCCAAGUACAAGGCUCCCCUAGGCUAUAGCAUAGGGAGAGUUUGGUUCUUCAAGCUUAAAAAUAUUAAUUUUUGGGUUUGUUUAUGUUUUUUAAUUGUCAUAUUGUACUUAAUAAAUGAAUUUUUUAUUUAUUAGUAAGGUUGUUUUUAAGAAUAAUAAGAGCUAAUAGAUGUUAAAUAAACUCAUCACUUUAACCAAUAUUAUAUUUAAUAGUAAUAAAUUAAAACUUCCAUACCACAAAUGGUUCCUUAUUUUAUUCACUUGAAAGCCUUGAAGGCUAGAAACCUAGAAAACAUAGCAUAAAAUUCUUGCUUUAAAUUACUACAUUCAAGUUACUAUUAUAUAACUUUCUGUAGGCAACAUAAGAUUAAAAAUUUGAUUUCGUAGUAAUAAUUUUAGCUUAGCCCACCCACCGAAUAAUUUCUGGCUACGCCAUUGGUUGUAAGUAAAUAAUCAAUAGUUAUUAGUUGCCUGUUACAAGUUAUACAAAGUCAACUAUUUGAUUAUAUAUCUGUAUCAAUAGAAUGAGCAAAGGGUUCAUCAAGUAUUUACUCCAUAACACAGAUUCUUAUUCUUUGCUCUAUUUCCUUAUUUCUGCCAUUCUCUAUUUCUCUAUAUAUAAUAUAUGCACAAGGGGCCUAUUUUUUAAAAUGAUUUUGUCAAGCAUGUAGUGCUGUCCUUGAUAAGUUUUUAAGUACCAUUAACCACUGAAAGAUUCAAUUUUAAUUAUCAACUUCUGAUCAGGUUUGAAUUAUAGUUCUUCUUGGUCCUCUCAUUCAUAAGAUUGACAUGCCUCAACAUAAAUUUUCUCUAACAGUAAUAGUGAAAAACUGAACUGAAUUUUAUUUUGGGAUGAUGCUAUUACUUAAACACUCUCUAUAAUACGGGUGAUGCUCACACAUAAUACUAGAGCUCAUAUUUAUCAAAGAGUGUGUCGACGGAUGUGUUAUUUUUGUUUGCCGAGAUAGUUUUGUUGUUUAUUUUUAUUAUCUACUAGACCAAUCAUAGGAAAAGGGAACAAAAAUGCAUUCAUACUUAAUAACCAUUUCUCAACAAUUUCAUAUUUGUCAUCUCUCAGAAAUAGGCAUGAAAUUUUGUACAUCUGUAACUUCUUUUGUUUUGAGGGAGGGUGGCCCUUAUAGAUGAGACUCCUUUGAGCUAGAGUUAUUGUUUAACACUUCUUACUUUGGCCUCUGAUGUAACGUUUCCAUUUGAAUUCUAUCGUUUGAAAAAAUGUAAUAAGUGAUUGCCCAUACACACUAGUAUUAUUGCGUAAUUAAUCUCAAUGACAAAUUAUUUGCAUUACACAUCAAAUAAUGUAAACAAUGGGAGCAAUAAAAAUUAAAAUCACACGAUCGAGUACACUCUUCUAAAGCUGAUUUAAAAAGUAGCCAAAGAGUUUGUGGUCCUUCUUCACACAACACAAAUCGAUCCAACCUCACNNNNNNNNNNNNNNNNNNNNNNNNNNNNNNNNNNNNNNNNNNNNNNNNNNNNNNNNNNNNNNNNNNNNNNNNNNNNNNNNNNNNNNNNNNNNNNNNNNNNNNNNNNNNNNNNNNNNNNNNNNNNNNNNNNNNNNNNNNNNNNNNNNNNNNNNNNNNNNNNNNNNNNNNNNNNNNNNNNNNNNNNNNNNNNNNNNNNNNNNNNNNNNNNNNNNNNNNNNNNNNNNNNNNNNNNNNNNNNNNNNNNNNNNNNNNNNNNNNNNNNNNNNNNNNNNNNNNNNNNNNNNNNNNNNNNNNNNNNNNNNNNNNNNNNNNNNNNNNNNNNNNNNNNNNNNNNNNNNNNNNNNNNNNNNNNNNNNNNNNNNNNNNNNNNNNNNNNNNNNNNNNNNNNNNNNNNNNNNNNNNNNNNNNNNNNNNNNNNNNNNNNNNNNNNNNNNNNNNNNNNNNNNNNNNNNNNNNNNNNNNNNNNNNNNNNNNNNNNNNNNNNNNNNNNNNNNNNNNNNUUUAUUUUCUGUUUAGUAUCGUUGUUUUUGUUUAUAAAAAUUUGUAGCCGGUUUUAUGAAAGCAUCUGAAUUUGGUCUUUAAGAUUGAUAACAAAGGCAUUGGGGGAGAGAAUCGACAGCAACCCAUUUCCCAUCUUUGAUCACUUGAAGGCCAGUCACUCCCUCUGUCUGCUUGAGUACUGUGAGUGCAUUGAGAUCAGUAUGGAUAGCUAGUCCAAGUGUGACCUCAGGGUCUGGACAUGGUGGAUGGUAGUUUCCCUGUGCUUUCAGAGUAGGAUUAUCAUCCAGCUUCUUUUGUAAGCAGUCCUUCUCUAGUCCAAGCCCCUGGGAUAGCAAUCCCAAGAGCGUUUUCAUCAAUCUGCCAUUCUCCUUUGCAUAUUCAGCAAAAACCUCAGUAACAAAACGACAAACAAAAGGGAAAUUAAUACACAGAAUUAGAAUAAAGUUACAAACUUUUAAUUAAAUAUAGAACUCGACGGCACUGAAGGGACUAUAAGAUGUGUAUGAAUUAUGGUUUUAGUGCUCAUUUAUUGACAUCUUAGUACUCUAUUUCCUAUAGUUUAGAUUAGUUUAAAGUAGAAUAUAUCGCUCAUAUUAAAAAGGAAAAAAAAUUAUCCUGGUACCCGUAUUGGGGAGGAUUUUCAGGCAAGGAAUUAAGAGGAUGCCAAAGAUGUGAGAAGGUUUCACUCCACAUAGUGACCUUUUGCUCUUGCCCUUCAACUUUGAGGUAGAAAUUGAAAAGCUUUACUUGCUUGGAGUGAUCAGUGGUGAAGUAUUUUGCCCUUUCUUCAGGAGGCAAUUUGAAGAACUGGGCCAUGGCAGUCAUCAUUCUAUUGCAGAGUUCCUCAGGUACUCCAUGGUUGAUGAUCUGGAAAAAUCCAUACUCCUCACAAGCUCGUGAGAUCUUCUGAACCAAUGGGGAUGGUCCAUCGCAGUUAUUGCUGCUGCCUUGGUCGUGUUAGGAGUAUAAUGGAGAAUGUGAUGUAUUGGGUUGUUGACACUUGUCACAAUCCUAGAUUAGUUAGUUAGCUAUAUUGAUUAGAUUGAUGAGAUUGGGGUAUUGAGAUAUAAAACUGAAGUUGUAGAGCAGAGUGCUUAUUAUUCUAAAUAGGAAUAACAAAAUACAGAUUGUUCUCUCUCCCUCUCGUUUCUUUGUCUCUUCUACCUUCUUCUUCAACUAUCUUAACAUGGUAUCAUCGCCGAAUAAGCUUCGUUGCAAGCUUUUUCGAUCAUUGGUUCUUUGCUUCCGCUACCUAUUUCUUUCUUCUACGAUCUCUCUGUGAUUUCUUUUCUGAUUUUCUGGGUUGUGAUUCUUACCAAUUCCUACGUUCUGUAUUCUGCAAGUUCUUGCGCAUCAGGUGUUUGUUUUUUGUUCUCAAAGAAAACUGAUCAACCAGGUGUUUAUUUUUUCAUCCGUUUCAACAUCGGUUUCAGUCAAGUUGAAUGAGCUAAAUACCGACAACAUGGUUUCCGCUCGUUUCUUCUAUACUUCAAUCGAUUUCUUGUUUGAUUUCUUGAUUCUUGAUCAAGAUUCAAUUUUUUUUCUCUGCUGUAUUUGCAAUAACUUCUCGAUUUUUCUGCUCGGUUCCCUCAGUUUGAUUUGUCUGUAACAAAUUUGGGGUUUCUCUUCUAAAUCUCUGUUUGGGUUGUUCAUUUCUACAACAAAAGUUAUGGUUACAGCUGCACAAUUGCAACUUUUGCAACCCUUAAUUGUAUCGUUGCUUACGUCUGUUUCUUUCUCUGUUUGUGUAAAAUUAGAUGACACCAACUACUUGCAGUGGCAUUUUCUGAUGAAGAUGAUGCUACAAGGUCAUGGCCUAUUGGGAUUCAUUGAUGGAUCGAAUCCUUGUCCUCCUCAGUAUUCAGCAACCUUUACACAUUCUGUAAUCACAUAUUAGUCAUCUGCCAGACCAGAAUUAGAUGAAUUUAAAGUGUGGAAAAUGCAUGAUUAAGCUUUGAUGUUGUUACUUACUGCAACACUUUCUUCAUCUGCAAUUUCUUGUGUGAUUGGUAACAAGAGUUAUCAAGAGAUGUGGGUUCGUCUUCAAAACGAAUUUUUCUUACCAAUCACAAGAACUAGUAUCAUCAAGUUAAAGUCUGAUCUGUAUAACAUUAAGAAAGGAUUUGAUUCAAUUUCCCAGUAUCUUCGAAGAAUUAAAAAAAGCAAGAGAUGCACUUUCUAUUCUUGGUGUUACAUUUCCUAAUGAAGACAUUGUGAUCAUUGCCUUGAAUAAACUCCAUGUAGAUACAACACAUUUAAAUGUGUAAUAAAAAGGCGUGAGAAUGUCAUUUCACUCAAGGAUUUUCGUGCACAUCUGCUCACUGAGGAAGCCAUUGUGGAUUGUGUUCCUGUGCCACAUUUCUUGUCUGCUAUGGUAUCUAAAUCUGAGACAAAAGGUUCUUCCUUUCCUCUCUCUAGCUCUCAUUUUCAUGCUAGUCAAUCAAGUAAUAUACAUGGUAAUAGUGUUACUGGUUACAAUGGUGGCUAUCAUGCUCAAUCCAAUUGUAAUUUAGGCCAAUCUAGCUAUGAUAAUGGGGCUUACAAUGGUUAUAUUUUUGGUCAGUCGAGCAAUGGUAAAAAUGCCGGUGGUUAUAAUGGUGCUUAUAGGAAUUUUCAGUCCAAGAAUUGUGGUAAAGGUCGGUUUCGUUAUAAAUAAUGGUGAAAGAUUUAAUAUCUACAAGUCUUUUCCUCAAUUUUCACUAAGAGUUCUUGGCUCACCUCCAUCUCCAUAUCUUAAUUCUCUACCACCUGAAUUUCCUACACAUCAAAUUUGUUCACAGAAAGAUCAUUUUGAUGCUACUCAAUCUUUAGUUUCAACUCCUGAAUUAUGUCAAUGCACAUUGGAUCAACAACUUAAACUAGUGUGUCCAGUCAUCCUGCAAAAUCAUGAAACACCUUUACUGAGCAAUUAUAAUGUUGACAUUCACACAGCUUAUGAUCGCAAGUGUGGUUCUCUCUCUCACUUCAUUAUUUCAGAAGAUGAAAUGUUUUUAACUGAUGCAGAAAAACAAGUUUUGGAAUGUAUUGACAAGGAAAGUGCAGAUCUCAGUGGGUUUACAACCGUGUAUUCAAGUGACAUUUCCAAUUCUUAACUUUGACAAACAAGGCGAAAAUUGGUGUUCCUACUCAAACUGUUGUACAUUAGUUCCGAGGAUUUUAUGUACUUCGGUUAUGCAAUGGUGGAAGUAUAUUUGAUAUUCAGUUAGGCUACCAUAUGAUAAUUUUUUAUAAGGGUGGGGCACCAAGUCUAUGUUGAUUUGGGUACUAUGGUAUACACGAUAAAAUGGUGGUAAAAUACAAGCUCCAGAUGCUAGGAGGUUUUCUUAUUGCAGACUAUGUGUGAAGCAGUGAUCAGAUACUCCACUCUCCAAUUGCAAGGAAUACUAUCCAAAAAGAGUUUAGAUUGCCAAAAUCUCAUGGUUCAUGCUAAAAGCCAUAUUUUUUUUUUAAGUUUCUACUACUAGUGGCUGCAGUAAAGAAUAACAAAUCUUCAUCCAUGAAUUGUCUACACUCUGCAUUGAUUUUUUUUUUUUUUUUGACAACUUGAAUGCUUUAACCUCAUGAUUGGGUGCCCCAAUCUUGAGUUUGAGGGGGGAUGUUAGGAGUAUAAUGAAGAAUGUGAUGUAUUGGGUUGUAGACACACUUGUCACAAUCCUAGAUUAGUUAGUUAGCUAUAUUGAUUAGAUUGACGAGAUUGGGGUAUUGAGAUAUAAAACUGAAGUUGUAGAGCAGAGUGCUCAUUAUUCAGAAAUAGGAAUAACAAUAUACAGAUUGUUCUCUCUCCCUCUCUCAUUUCUUUCUUUCUUCUAUCUUCUUCUUCAACUAUCUUAACAAGUCGUUCAAAUCAAUGGUGGGGAUUGAUUCCAGAGCUGAAACAUUUGAGAGGUGUGGCCUGUGAUUCUCUGGGAGAAUGAAGUUUGGAGAGAGGGAUAGAGGAGUGGUGUCUUUCGCCAUUUGGAAGGAUGCCAUCUUUUGAGGAUGAAGAUUGUUUGAGUUUGAUGAGGUGAUCUAAAUGGAACUGUUGUACGGACAAGGACACGGUUGUGGGUCGUUGAGCAUUGGGGUAGUUGGGUGUCAUGCGCACGCAGCCAACCGAACUAAUUCAUAGGUUAGGGAUUGAAGUCAGUGCAAGUGGAUGUGCAUACUGCCUCGAGUAACUAAUCCAAUUCACAAGAGAAACUUUCAUGGAUGAAUGACCAUUGUAGCAUGAUUAACAUCUUGUACCAACGUUACAACACACAUGAAGAAACAUUUACGCAUAAUUUGUUAUUGGUAGCAUCUACUUUUGCCAUUGAAGUCAUUCUCUAACUUUACAUAUAUGCAAUGUGUUAUUUUAGUUAGUUGGCAUAGUCAACUUCAAAGAAAGAAUCAUUGAAGUUACAAUUUUCUAAAAAUUCUACUAUGCUCUAGUGUAUGACAUUGUGUGCUAUAAUUUAUAGUUUUGUCGACAAUUAAAACCAUAACAAUGGGCUGGUAAGCAGGGCCGGUCUAGAGAUUUUUUAGGCCUGGGACGACGCUAAAAAAUAUGCCUUAACUUCACAUAAGAAAAUUAUUUAUUUUUCACAUAAAAGACAUCGAUAAAAUUAUACUUAGAAAAACAUUUCGAACUCAAUAAUUUUGAAACACAGAAAGACUAAUUUAUUUUGUAUCAAGAGAAGGAAACCAAAAAACACCCGGCUUACAAGUAGAUAAAUGAGUUUUGUUUUCCAUCUGAACUUUUAAAGUAUUUUUGUAUAAAUCGUGAGAUGUUUUUUCUUAUUUACUAACUUUGUCAAUAUGGGACUAAAAAAAUAAUAAUGUUUUCGAGUCUUUAAUUGAUAUGCAUAAGUAAUGAAUGGGCACUAACUUAAACCUUAUGAUGACACGUCAUAUGAUUUGUAAAUUUGCUCUAAAAAUGUGGUCUACGCAUUACUGUUUGUUGAAUAUUAGACUUGAAUUUGAACGAAUAUUUAAAAAUAGCAACCCAUAUAGCUACUAGCUAGUAACUAAAAAUAAAUUAACAACCAAACAAAAAUUUGUUAAAACUGAAAAGAAUAAACACGCACAUAGCAUUUCAAACUUGGGACCUCUCGUUAAUUUUAAACAACAAAAAUCAUUGCUUUUAAUUAAACUUCUUGAGUAUUUAACCAAAUUUUAUAAAUUUAUACUCUUAUGAAAAAAAAAUUGUAAAAAUUGGAAAGUAAAUAAGCACACGUGGUGUCUUAAACCCAAGACCUUCUCAUUAAUUUCAAAUUACAAAACCACCACCUCUAGUUAAAUUCCUUUAUCAUUAAACCAACUUUUUAAAAUGGGAUACUUUGGAUGUGGUCCCUAAUCUUUAACAUUCUUUGACUAAAACCUUAAUGGUAUUCAAAGUUUGAUCAAAAUCCCUUGACUUUGUACACCUCAUUAUAUUACAAUAAAUAUUUAUAUUUUUAUAGUUUUGACAUUAAUUGUUUGAUAUUUUAUGAGAUUUAUAAUCCUAUAAAUUUAAAAUCCCUCAUUAUAAUACUAUUAGAAACUGUUACAAUAAAAAAAUUCAAACAUUUUGAUUGAAUAAAUGGAUAAAAACUAUGUAAAAAUAAGAAAUAAUAAAUGGCAAAAGAAUGUAUCCAUAGUGUUAAAAAAAAUUGGUACAUUUCACAUAUAACAAGGUGGUACAUUAAUAAAGAAGAAUGGGUACAUUGUAAAUAAAUUAGGGUACAGAUAAAAGAUUAAAACAUUAUGACUACAAAUGAUUUUUUAAAAAAUAUAGGUGGUAAAAGAAAUUUAUACAUGGGUACAAAAUAAAACUAAAAAGAAAAUACUACAAAUUUAAAAAAAAAUGUUGCAAAUUAAAAGUGGGUACAAACUAAAAAUAUAAAUAUAUGAUACAAAGUUUAGGCAUAAAACAUAAAUAUACCAUUUGUAAUUUUUCUAUCAUUGAUUAAAUAUAUAAUGUCACGUGACAGUAUACAUAUGGGUACAAACACAAAUAAAAUUUUAAAAAAUAUGGGCACAAAAAAAACUAAUAUAUGGAUACAAAUUAAAAAUAAAACAAAAAUUGGUACAAAUUUAAAAAUAGGCACAAACUAAAAAUAAAAAUAUAUGAUAAAAAAAUUUAGUCAUAAAUAUAAAUAUACUAAUUGUAACAUUUUUUAACACUAAAAGAAUAUAUUUUAAAAUAAAAAUAUUUUAUUAUUCAAAUAAUUAAUGAUGUUAUUAAUACCCAAGGACCUUGAUCAAAAAUUGAAAAUGAAUAGGAUUUUAAUCAAUAGAGUAGCAAAAAGAAGGAUGUGAACCUAAUUUCUCCUUUUAAAAUUUAUACUCUUAUAAAAACAUAUAUAAAUAUAUCAUCCGAAUAAUUUUGGUGCUCCCAACUUUUUUGACUCCUGAACGGUCGCUCUGCUUGCACUGGCCUAGGCCAGCCCUGCUGGUAAGUAACCUUGGUUUUGAAAUAAUCGAAAAAUCAAUUGUCUUUCUACGGUAAUAAAAACACUCAGAUAUCAAAUCUCCUUUUUUACUAGUGAAAUAAGCAGAAGCUGUCAGUGUACUGCCUUUUGCCUAACACCACCAUCUUCAUACUCCACCUGAAAUUUAAAGGAAUAGAUUCACAUUGGAGCGAAAAGUUACAUAUGACAACACAAGUACACACUUUUUCCCAUGAUUUUAUACACGAGUUAGCCUUGCCUCAUAAACCUUUUUUUUUUUUAACUCACGACUGAGUAGCACGUAAAUCCUGGCUUCAUCUAUGAGCAUAAACUAUAACCUUCUCCGUCACUGCAGCCCUUCCAGAUUUUCCUCUCUUCUACCCUCUCUCUUUAUCUUUUUUCGUGGUUUUGUCAUUAUUUUCUCCCUGUUAAAACAUAUAGCACAGUAAAUUGUCAUGAUACAACGACUCAAAACAACUUCGUUAAUAUCAACAUCAGAAAGGUAGUGAAACCACAAUUAUGAGAUGACUGGACAUCGAUCCGAAGCAUAAGAAAAAUCAUUAUACAAACCUUGUUUUUAAGGCAAGCUUCCUUACGCGUAUCCGCAUUUUAAUCAACCGUUGCUUUGUUGUGUACAAGAAACUUAGGCAAUGCAUCUGCCAAUUCGGAAAAGGUCAUGUUGAUCAACCACUUUGAAGAAGCUCUUGCUCUAAGAAAGCUAGUACGUACUAAUCAGUAACAGUUGAAAGAGGAUCCAGAUUCUCAAUACCAGAUGCUUGUCAGUUAUUUCAAGUGCUUCCUAUAAUUUCUGGGCAACUUAACUCUCUCCUACAAUUUUUUUGACAUUUGAGUUCUUUCCAUAGUUUUCAUAUAUAUAUAUAUAUAUAUUCUUUUUUUUUGUCGAACUAUAGUUUUCAUAUAUGGAUAGAAGACUCCUACAGGCACUAACAUAACAUAUGAGAACAUUAUCCGCAUUUCUGGGAGUGUAGGAACGAAUUUGUUGAUAUCAGUAUAGUUAGAAAUGUAAGUAAACUCUUCUAAUUAAGAUCAACAAAACUAUAGAAGCUUUGGGUAAAUAUACUUUCGUGAAAAUUCAAAAGGCUGCUCGUGUUGAUUAACGGGAAACUUACGUGAACAUAUAUAGCGUAUAUGUUCGUGUUUUUAGCACACUGAAAAAUCUCUUCUGCUUUGGAGGUGGGUUACUAAGGGAAGAAACUUCAAAUUUUUGGGCAUGCCCCAUCCCAAGACGAUAAUUGUUUUUUAUUUUAUUUUUUCAAAAAGAAAAUUCUGCACAGAUAUCGUCCACAUGGUGUCACAGUGCUACUGCAUAAUCAUCAUCCACGUGGGCGUCACUUCACUCUUUAAUGGAGCUCCUGACGACCAAUCUAACGGAUUUAUGAAUCUGGGAGAAAAACUUAACUUUAGGUAUGAAAAUGGGACCAAAAAAACUUCAUAUUUAAAAGUGUAAAUUUCAUGAUACUUAAGAGUAGUAAAAGGAGAAUUACCUUUAUUUUUUUAGACUUUUUAGCCAAAAUGGUAUCCGGGAUUGACAUAAUUCCUCACUUUGGUCUCUAAUAUUUGAAAUCAAUAGAAGUGGUUUAUGAGUUUGUUCAUCAUCAAUCAUUUUGGGCAUUCCGUGAAAAAUUCUAUUAAAUAAGAAUUAAAAUGACAAAAAUACCUUCAAUUUAAUAAAUAAUGGGACAAAAUGUUUUGACAAAAAUUGAGAGUAUUUUUUUCGUUUUAUUAUUAGUUAAUGGAGAUUUGUUAUGGAAUGACUAAAAUAAUUAAUGAUUGACAAACUCAAGAUCAAUCUAUCGAUUUCAAAUCUCAGGAUCCAAAAUAAAGAAUUAUGUCAAUCUCAGAAAUCAUUUUAGUUAAAAAUAAUUUUUUUUACAAGAAACAUUACAAUUACAUACAUUUCAGAAUGCAGAUUCCGAAACACGGAUCAACCAGAGCUCGCAGGUGUUGUCCUCGGGAUCCAACACAAUACAUUACCACUUUUUCUGCACCCCCCCCCUCUCUUUGUCAAAAGUUGAUUCAAUAGCCACUUACUACUAUGGUUUAGUAGUAUUUCUAUUUAUUUGUAAGUGAGAGGUCGUAGGUUCGAUUUCACACUAAAAGCGAAUUUGAACCAUAUUAUUGCUAACACAUUAUGAGGCUAAGCUCACCCUCUCCCUCGAUGUAAGUAAUAUCAUUUAUUCAAAAAAAAAAAAAAAAAGUUGAUUCAAUAAUGAUGGUCUCUACUCUCUACUGCCACAUUUCUACUUUUUAACAAGGACGGAUUUGCAGGUGGUCCUCUACCACAGUUAUGAAGAUGAGUGACACCCUUGCAUGACGGCGUGGGUUCGAACCCUGCCAAUGGCAUGUUAAAUUUCUAACUUAACGAUAAUAUCGCUCUGAUUAAUUUAUCCACAAGAUAUUCAAGAUAACAGACGAUGAUCUCCAGAUCCUCUUUGUGAAGAUCUGAGGAUCAAUGAUCUGAAGAUAAAUCAAUCGUGUUGUUCCUAUUCCCAAGAUAAAUCAAUCGUGUUGUUCCUAUUCCCAAGAUAAAUCAAUCGUGUUGCUCCUAUUCCUAAACAACAACUAAAUAAAUAUUAGUUCACUGGUUAUCUUUAUGUCAAGAAUGUUUCAGAGUCGGCCAUCCGAUUAAUACUAAUCAAAUCGAUGUUAUUACAACUUAACUAUCUACAUAACUUAACAAACGUUGUAUUUUAUUACAAAAAUAUUGGUAUAAUUACAAUGUAGUCAUUCGCUAUAAAUUAUUUUGUCAAACUUUCGAUAUAUAAUUACAUUCUUCAAAUCUUAUAUUCUCAAAAUUCUCCAGGUAUAGAAUUAAUGGAACUUCAUAAUAUUUUUGUGUUUUUUUUGUGAGUGGGGCCGGCGAAUCUCAUCCCCUGAAUGCUACGCGAGUGGAGUGAAUUAGGGAGGGCCUUCUUUAUCAAUAUAUUUUUUUUUUUCCCUUUUCAAAGAGAAUGUCUCCAUCUCCAUCAUCUGUCAUCCUUUUUCUUGUAGUAUAUAUAUAGUUUUAAAAUACUGGAUUUAAACUAAUUACGUGCAGCUUCAUGAACCAGUGUAGCUAUGUUACAAUCUCCAGCUGGCAUGUAUGGAACAAAUAUAUAUUUGGAGACAUUAGGUUUACAUUCUUAUUUUUUCUACUCCAUUGAUUAAAACUUUAUUCUUUUCUAAAUUUUGAUCAAGGUCAUUCGAUUUUAAUAAACGACAUUAAUUAUUCAAAAAUAAAAUAUUUACAUGUCAAGAUAAUUAAGUUUCAUUUUUAAAUAUAUUCAUUUAGUGUUAGAAACGUUACAUUUGAUAUAUUAUAUUUAUGGCUAAACUUUUUAUCAUAUAUUUCUAUUUCUAGUUUGUACCCAUUUUUAAUUUGCAACCAUUUUUUAAAUUGUACCAAUUUUCUUUUAAAUUUUAAUUUGUAUCCAUAUAUUAAUUUCUUUUUGUCCCUUAUUUUUUAAACUUUUAUUUGUACUCAUAAUUUUUUAACCUUUUAUUUGUACCCAUAAUAUAUUUAUAAUGUACCCAUUUUUUACAAAUGUACCACUUUGGUAUAUGUAAAAUGUAUCCUUAUUUUUUUUUUGGUAAGUACCAUUUUUUAAUGUAAAAUCUAUUUAUUUUUUAAUCUAAAAUGUACCAUUGUUUUUUUUUUAAAUAUAAAGUGUACCCAUGUUUUUAUGUAAAUGUACCAAUUUUUUAUAUAUAAAAUGUAGUCAAAUUUUAUUAUAUAAAUGUACUCAUUUUAUAAAAAUAAAAUAAAUAAAAUAAAACCCCUUUUUUAUAUAUAUAAUCUAGAAUGCACCCAUAAGCAAUUAUUAUUAUUUUUUGUUUUUAUCAAAAACCAUAAGCAAUUUUGAAUAAUUAAAUUGGUAGUGUAAAUGAAAGUUUAAAAAAAAAAACGGUUGAGUCUUUAUUGAUAUUAUUGCAUCUCUUUUAUUAUUAUGUCAUUUAUGUAAUAGGAGAGGGACUUCAAUCAAAAGUAUAAAAUGCAUAAGGUUUGAGUCUAUAAUAAUUAGGGACCAAAGACCGCAACUAAACUAUCCCUAUUUUUUAUGGUUUAGUCCCAUUUUAUUUCACAUUCAAUAAAUAUGUAGGUAUUAAUAUAUAGAUAAGUUCAUUGUCCAGUUGUGAUUCGAUACCUAAAUGAAUAUAAUGUAUGAUCCCCCGAUGCUUCCAAAUUAUAUCACUAUUGGAUGUUGGAUUCAUAUAUGUUUAUUUGAUUUGAUUUGAUAUGAAAUCACCAUGCAUCAUCCAUCUGAUCUCUUAAAUUCUCCAGUACUCCUACUGCCUUCCCAUCCCUGUAGCAUCCAAUCGCAGCAAGCCACAGAUCGAAUAUAGCCAAGAACUUACUUUUGUCAUGGCGAUCAUGCAUGUAUGGACUACGUUAUAACCAUCAUAAAACUCCAUUUUUCGUAAGGGUUAAAAAUGCCUUCCCAUCCCUACCAUCCGAUCGCAGCAAGCCAUACAUCGAAUUUGGUCAAGAAAUUUUUAUGUCAUGAAGAUCAUGCAUGUAUGGACAAUAUGUGUAACCAUCAUAAAACUCCAUUUUUCAUAAAGGUUAAAAUGUCAAAGCAUAUUGAUAUCUGAAAUUAGAAAUGCCGACGACGACGAAGGAAGCCAAGAAGUGAGAAUGUAAUAAAUAUCCUGAUUUUAAGUUCUAAAAAUAUGGGCAGGUAAGAACGUAGCAAGAGUGCUACUUCCUUAAUCGUAAUACCCACAAAACUGAAACACUUAUUGACAGAUUUUGAUAAAAAUAGGUCUUACGUGGGUAAUGCUAUUUAAAACACAAACGGCGCAUUCAUAAUUGCUAACAUUUUCUUAUACAUGUAGGUCUUACAUACAAUCAUAGGACCUACAAGUUGAAAAUUAGAGUACUCAUAACGAUCGAACAAACGCAAGAUAAACUAUGAACAUUGUUUUAUUAAACGGAAAACAAAUAAAUGAGAUUGAUGAUCAGACAACUACAAAUUGCUACAGCUUGACUGACUUAAUUCUCGUACUAAACUACAAGUUAUAUUUAUAGAAAGCAGAACUUAAGAAACCCUAAUCCAAAUAAGCUAGGCCCAAACCCAAAUAAUAAAAUAAAUAACUAAUUUUCUAAAACUUGUUAAUUAUUGUGUCUAAAUAUCAUGAUAGUCUUAAUAUUGUAACGUAAGACCUUACACGUGCAAGAGAGUGUCACCAAGAGGGUCUAACAUUCUCAUCUUUCAAAUGAGUUACCCAAUUUAGUUUAGUGGUGAGUGUAAAUAAGGCGGUGGAUAAAUAGGCUAGGGGUGGUUAGAAUCCCACGAAUGUAACAAAAAAAUAAUUAAAAAUAAAAGACGGCGCGUACAUAGCUCAUUGGUCAUUGUUGAAGCUAGCCAUGUGUUUCUUAAUGAUCAUGCAUAUAUGAGAAGAUCCCAAAUGGCGGAACACCAUAAAAAUUUUCGAGAAAAUCUAUUUAGUGCAUAAAGGAUUGAAGUUUGAAGAUAAAUAACCAAAAGCUAAUACCUUCACUUCUGCAAAUGCAAUUGCCCUAGACCUAAACUAACACAAUUAAUUCAUGAGGAAUGAAUUAAUGGUACUUCCAUGCUGCUAGUUCAUCAGUUCUAGAUAUACUCUCAGAAGUUGAUCUCUCUCUGCGGCCUUCCAGAUCAUCAUCCUGCUUGUUUCAUUUUACUCUCUUCACAAACCUGAGGUACGUCUACAAUGUUAACAAUAUUGAUUAAAUACACUCGAUUAAUAAGCUACUCUUGGAAAAAGGAAAAAAUAAGAGGUACAAAAGAAGUGGAAUUUACGACGAACGAAGAGACAUGAGUCAGAAUGUCAGAUGGGAUGAGGUUUGUUUAUCCCACGUAAAGGCAUAACGCAUAACAGAGUGACACAUAACAAACACGGCAGACACUCUGAUCACACCAAAUGCCACGUCUCACGCAGUACAGGGAAUCUGACAGAAACCUAACAGAUGUUAUGCGCUUACUGACAGUGCAACGCACAACGCCCAACAGCGUUUAACGGGACGCUAACGGAAAACAGACAUGGAAAAAGCUCUACUGCCCUAGUGCAGAAACAAUGGCUAUGGACAGACUGCAACAACAACAACAAAAAAAAAAAAAAAAAAAAAAAGGGAAAAUGAGAGAGACAGGGAAGGAUUGCAAAAAAAAGCACUCACCAUGUCUUUAUAUGUAUGCACAUUGAAAAAACGAAUUAG